UUUUUUUUUAACUUACUUUGUUUUUUUUUUUAAUUCAUUUAAUGGGUCAAAGGCCAAUGUCAAAUUUUGCUAUAGUGGAAGAGCCAUUUUCGUGUAUUUCCUCGACUUUUUAGGUUGCGUUUUAUUCCAAGGAUGAAAUUUGGAUGGUAUGGAAAUAAAUUUUAGACAAUUUAAUUGAGCUAUUUGAUUAUCAAUAUUUGUUGGAUACCGUUAUUUAUAUUCACAAUUUUUAUAUGUACAUUCACUUUUAAAAAGAAUAAUUAUGUUAUAUUUUAGCCUCUAUUUGAGCCCCAUUAAAUUAAAUUCUAUUAUAUUUCAUUUUUUCUUUAUUAUUUUUAAUUUCACAAUCUUCCAUAAAAUAAUAUUACACGUAAAUCAAAAAUUUUUCAUUCUUUUUCAACUACUUAUUUUUCAAAAAAACAUUAUUCUCCCUAUUAAUUUUUCUACGUAAUGGAGAUCAAACAGGGGCUUAAUCUUAUGUAAAUUUACUUAAAUAGUCAUAUAUAAAAUUAAAUAAACUUAUAUCAUUCUAAAUUCAUCUACUUAAAUCUAUUUUUAUUAAAGUCUUUUAAACCUUUUUAUAUUCUUGUAGAGUUUGUGUUUAACUAAAAUUCUUUCCUUAUACUACCCAUCUCACCGCCACCCUCACAGGCCUCAUCCGUUCACGUUCACGCCCAUGUCCACCUCUUUCAUCCUUAUAAUAGAAUACAUACAGCAAAUUACAAAUACAGGCAUACACAGUUGAUGAAUUCUGGUAUAUAGAACAUUGAUAAUAUACCAGUAAUUUUAAUCUUCAAUUGUGCAGAAAAGAAAAGAAAUAAAAAAAAUAUGUGAAGAAUAAAAGCUAUGAAAAAGUUUCUGCAAAAUGGGUUCCCAUUUUUUUCCAUCUUUUUCAUCUUGCUUGGGCUUACUUUCACAAACAAGCAUAGCCGACGAUUCUGGGUUUUGAUAAAUUUUUCUUUUUUAUAAUUCUCUGCUAAAUUUAACAUUUAUAACCUUAUCAGCGAUCAAUUAAUCAUAAAUUAAAUUUUAUGAACUUUAUCCUUUAUUAUAAAUUCAUACAUAAAUUUAUUUUAUUUCAAAAUUAUGCGUAAGUUCAAAAAGUUGAUUUUUAUUGAAUAUAAAAAUAAUAUUUGUCAAUCAAUAUAAUGGACCAAUUCAUGUGGAAAAUAACAAACCCACGGGGCAUUUAAUUUUAUUUUGCAUAUAAUAUUUUGCUUAUAGAAUUAAUUAUUGAAUUGUAAGAAGGUUGGUACUAAUAAGAAUGAAUAUAGUGCUUUUUAAAAAAAAAAAAAAAUUGUAAUUGCAUUAGGGAUGUAUUUAAAGUGUGAUGAAUAUAUUAAAUUGGUGUGGAUAUAUUGUUUUUAAAUGAAUGAAUUCAAUGAGGGUAAUAUUGGAAUAUGACGUGGAUGACAAUAGUAUUUUUUUAAAAUUCUAAUAUUUUCAUAGGGAUGUAUAUAGAGUGGGAUGAACAUGUAAAAAUCAUGGAUGUAAAUAGCCGUACCCUAUUUUUAUAUAAAAAAAUGUGUUUUUCAUCCAAUUUUUUACUUUUGUGCUAUUUGAUUGUCAUAUUUUUCAUAAAAAAUAUUUUCCUACUUUUGAUCAUGUGAUCAUAUUUUCCUCAUAAUUAAGGAAAAUAUAUUUUUGAUGGAGAGUUGGAUUUUAUUUUCAACGGAAUUCACUCUCUCUUUCUCUCUCUCUCAUCAUUCCACUCUCUCCUAUCUACCUAACAAUAAAAAAUGGACAAAUAUAAUAUUUUCUAAAUUGAAAAUUAAAUCAAUGAAAUAUAUUUAAUUGACAAUUUUCAUGCAAAUAAGUCUUAGGCAAUUGAAUUACCUAUAAUUUAUUUUCUUCCUCAACUUAGAAAAUAUUAUAUUUGUCCAUUUUUUAUUGGUCGAUAAAUGUGAGAGAGUGGAUGGAUGAGAGAGAGAAAGAGAGAGUGAAUUCCGUUGAAAAUAAAAUUCAGCUCUCCCUAAAGAAAAUAUUUUCCUUGAUUUUGAGAAAAAUAUGGUCACGUGUCCAAAAGUAGGAAAAUGUAUUCCAUAGAAAAAAUGGCAAUCAAAUAGCACAAAAGUAUGUAUUUGGAUGAAAAAAACAUAUUUUUCAUGAAAAAUAUUGGCUAUCAAGUAAACCGUUAUUUGCAUUGAAAUUAUUAAUUUAAUUGUUUGAUUGAUUUAAUUUUUUAACAAAGAAUACUUAUCCAUUUUUUAUUAGUAGAUAGAUGAGAGAAAGAAAGUGAGAGUAAAUUUCCUGAAAAAUAAAAUACUACUCCCAAAAUAUUUUCCUUGAUUUUGAGGAAAAUAAUGUUAUGGGACCAAAAGUAAGAAAAUAUUUUUCAUGAAAAAAUAUCAAUCAAACAGCACAAAAGUAAGAAUUUGGGUGGAAAAUACAUUUUUCAUGAAAAAUAUUGACAAUCAAAUGCACCCUUAGUUUUAUGAUAAACAAAUAUAUAAUCUAUAAAAUACGAUUUUAAUCCUCUUAUAAUUCAAUUAUAUCAAUGAUACCUAAUAAAUAUUACAAAAAUAUUGUCAUUUAUCAAAUUUGUGUUGUUGACGUCAAAAUUAGCAAGGCUAAUCUUAAGCCAACUUUAAGAAAAAAAGGAAUUCAUUGUUGAAAAAGACCACAAAAUAUAUUGAGAAAGUGUAAUUGUGUCAUGAGUUGUUAUGUUCAUUCACCUGCCUUUUACAAGAGUCCUAUUCAACUAUUUAUACAUAGUUUCAGCUGAAAUUAUAUCAAAUCAGUCAAAUUAGCUACAGUACCAAGCUUGGAACUCGGGUCACCGAAUUCUCUGGUGAUUGGUUGACGAGGCCGAUGGCCAUGUGUCAAUGUUUUCCCCAGGUAAUGAUGACCUGCAAGGGGCUUUAGAUUUAGGACUUCGGAUUCGUGGUUUUGGGCGGUGAUGAUGUCACUUGUGGUAAGUGUGUAUGAUUGAUAGGGUGAUGUGACAGGGGGAAAUCAUGAUUUUUUUUUUGAGAUAACGGAAGGACUGUCCGAGCUGGGAGCAGUGACUGAACUCACAUCUGCCUGAGGUGGGGUUAGGGAACUAUUUUUAUUAGGUCGGAGUUUGGUUGUCAACAGUUAUCCCCCAGGUCAAUUUUGCCGUAGGGGGAGCUGACCUCAUUUGACGCUUUCUUCAAGAAGUGUAUUUAUUGCCGUGCCAAGUGUCACCUUUUUGAUGGGGAUGAGCUAUACGGCAUUGUUAAUUGCUUCUUCAACAAGUUUGUUGUGAAACUACGUCGUUUUGGUCCUUUAGGCUUUCGGACCGUUGAUCUUCCUCCAUCUUUGGAAUGAUGGUUCAGAUCAUGUCUUUUCAGCUUCUCUUUCUUUAAAUUACUUUUGGCCUGUCAUUUUGCCUUCUAUUUCACUGGUUAUUCUCUCCAAAUCUUCGGGCAAUCUCCUGAGUUCGUUUUUCCAUUUUCGAGUGAGGUUGUUUUCCCUAUUCAUUUCCUAGGUAUUCUUCUGUUCUUUUUUCUUCAUCCUUUCAGUUUGCGCUUUAUUUCCUAGUUUUUACAUGAGUUCGGAAGAGUCUAGAGUUCACUCCUGGGGAAACCAGUAGGAAGAGUCAGUUCCCCCUUCGACGAGCUUGUCCUUUAGUUGUAAGGAAGUUUUCAUCCCUGUUCCUAUUUCCAAAAUUAACCCAAUCGAUUUAGGGCGUCCUGUCAUGGACUCUGGAUUUGAGGGCUCCAAGGGAGAGGAUGGAUUCAUUAAAGAUGUUGAGGAGAGUAAUUCUGGGGAGUAGGGGGCAAGCUUUUACAGGUCGAUUGUAACAUGGGAUAUGUUAGCCAGCAGACGAGCUAAAUACGCUAUCCCGAGUUCGGUAGUGAUGAUAAUACCAGAACCAUCUGAUUGGGCUGACACUCUUCCUGAGCGAUGCGUAGCUCUGAACUCAGCCAUACUUCAGGCCAGCCUUAGACUUCCAUUUCCUAGGGUAAUUCGUAAAUUCCUUCCUUCCUAGGGCAUAGCUCCCACGUAGCUAUGCCCUAACAGGUGGUGAACCUUAAUCGCCGCCCUCAUUCUGUGGGACCAAAUGGGGAAUCCCGAGUUGAGUGUCCAACAAUUCAACUCUCUGUUUACGUUUAAAGAGGAUGGAAAAAAUUUUGGCUGGUGGUACACCAGUGUUAGGCCGAUGACGGGGGGUCGUCGGUGCUAAACACUCCUUCUUCGAUCAAAAAAUGGACGGAAGAGUUCUUUUAUGUGUCGGGGGAGUGGCAGUUCCAUCGUUCCGAAGUGAAUAGAGAGGACAUGGUCCCCAGGCUCUAUCAUCCUUUAUGUAAGUGUUAUGUGCUUUAGUCUUUAGCAAGGCGUAUGCUAAUGAAGUACUGACCUCGGUAUUUCUCCUUUGUGAAGAUUACAAGAAGGAGACGUUAACCAAGGAUACGCAGAGACGAGUCGAGGUAAUAAGGUCAUUACCCAAAAGGCAGAGGUCCUGUAAGUUUGUGAUCUCAAAUUCAAACUUAUUUCUGGCCGACUUGGUGCAAAUGCGAGCUUCCAGUUUGGCUCCUACCAGCUAAGGUAAUAUUUUGACCCUCAUUCAUGGUUGUUGUUGUUGUGUGUGUGCGUAUAUUAUUAUUAUUAUUAUUAUUCAUUGACCGUUUCACUAUUUUUUCAGCUCAUCAAGACGAGAUGCGGGUCUAUAAGGCAGUGGCUGCAGCCAAAGGAAAAAAGAGGGAUGUCCCAGAACAGCCAGAGAGCCGUUUGGAAGAGGUGGAGGAGGAGGUUUCACUGAAGAGGAAUCGAUCUGCGCCCCCGGCAGCACCGAGAAUUCCUGAGGCUGUACCUUUAUCAAGCUCGUCUCCUACUCUGCCAUCCCCUACUUUACCAUCCCCAGUUGCACCCUCCGCCGUUGGGACUAGCUCUGUGAGGUCGCAGGAGAGGUGCCCAGAUUUAUAGAGAUCGAGCUUGGGGAGUUUGGUGGGCCAUCGACCAGAAAUAUUUCUUGAUUAUCUCCGAGCUCCUUCUCCUUCCAGGGAGGUGAUUGCCGCGCUCACUUUACCAUUGAGAGAGUCAGCAAAUCUGCUUACCCGGAGCUGGGGUGAGAGAGAGUAGGGUUAUCUAAAUGAGAUACCCAUCGGUGAGGCGCCUUGGUCACUGCUCAGCUCCAUCGUCACCGAUCAAUUUUAUACAUGAUGGCAAUGGCAGACAAGGUAUUCUUCCUGUUUCAUGUUGUUUUUAGUUCUUUGAGCAACUUUUUUAUUGACUUGGUGAUUUUUGAUGUUUGAAAAACAGGUGAAGUCUGAGCUAGACAAGCUUAUAGAGGCAAAGGACCAAGCCUUUAGCCUUUAUAACAGCAUGGAGGCUGAAAAGACCUAAUUUGCUCUGAAGGAGAAGGAGUAUGAAGAGAAGCUUAAUCAGAUGAGGGUCGAGUUGAACUCUAGGAUCAACGUUGACGAAAAACUUAUGGGAGAGAUCAGGGCCUUGAGGGCCUUAGAGGAAGAAGCCAGAGAUCGGGUUGAGGAGGAACAAGUUAAGGUCAAGGAGGCCAUCCAAAAAGUGCAGGAGGCCAAUGAAAGGGCGAAGGAGGCCACCAGGAGGGCUGAAGAGGCUGAGGUUGAGGCUGAAGCUAAGGCUGUCAGAGUGGUGGAGACUUGGAAGGAGUUCCCUGAGUUUGAUAUCUUAGCCCAGGACGUCUAUGUGGUAGCACUUGAGGAAUUAGUGGGGCACAUCAGGAAGGAGAGGCCUGACUUUGACGCGGCCUUUCUGGAUGAAGCGCUGGAGGGGUAGAAGGAGGAGCUGCGGAAGUUAUCGGAGGUGGCGGGAGUUCAGAUGUCUUCAGUAGAAGAGGCAGCUCCGGAGAAGACCCCUGUUCCUCAAGAUCCCCACCUGCCUUAGAUGUGUUUUAAUGACGAGUUUCAUAUUUUAACUAUGAAUGUUUUGUAAUGACAGUUUUCGUAUUUUUAACUAUGAAUGUUUUAUCUGAUAUGGUAUUUUUAUGAAAGCAAGUACUUUUGUAUUUUUAGUUGCACUAUGAUGAAUCUUGUUUAUGUCGUAGCACUUAUGACCUUAGGUCAGCCUAUGCAUGGGGUCGGGUUUACAGAAUUCCUUGGGAGGAAUUUUCACUAAGUGUCGUAAAACAUACAACCUUAGCUCGGCUUGCGUAAGGAGCAGGGCUUUUUUGAAUUCCUUAGGAGGAAUUUCGUCUAAGUGUUGCAGUACUUACAACCUUAGCUCAACCUGCGUAAAGAGUAGGGCUUUGUUGAAUUCCUUAGGAGGAAUUUGAACUAAGUGUCGUAGUACAUACGACCUUAGAUUGGCCUGCGUAAGGAGAAGGGCUCUUUAGAACUCCUUAGGAGAAAUUUCUACUAAGUGUUGCAGUACAUACGACCUUCGAUCGGCCUGCGUAAGGAGCAAGGCUUUUUAGAAUUCCUUAGGAGGAAUUUUCACUAAGUAUCGUAGCACAUACGACCUUAGAUUGGCCUGCAUAAGGAGCAGGGCUUUUUAGAAUUCCUUAGGAGGAAUUUCCACUAAGUGUCGCUGCACAUACGACCUUAGAUCGGCCUGCGUAAGGAGCAGGGCUUUUUAGAAUUCCUUAGAAGGAAUUUUCACUAAGUUUCGCAGCACAUAUGACCAUAGAUCGACCUGCGUAAGGAGCAGGGCUUUGUAGGAUUCCUUAGGAGGAAUUUCAUCUAAAUGUUGCAGCAGUUACAACCUUAGCUCGGCCUGCGUAAGGAGCAGGACUUUGAAGAAUUCCUUAGGAGGAAUUUUCACUAAGUGUCGUAGCACAUACGACCUUAGAUUGGCCUGCGUAAGGAGCAUGGCUUUUUAGAAUUCCUUAGGAGGAAUUUCCACUAUGUGUUGUAGCACAUACGACCUUAGAUCGGCCUGCAUAAGGAGUAGGGCUUUUUAGAAUGGGGUUUCUCUCGUGCUAGUCCUUGCAGUGGUGCGGUAUGACCAUAGCACACUGGGGAGUUCUUCGGCCCAUUCUCCUUUAAACAAGUCAAGUUUUGCUUUCAAUGUGUGCUUAAUAAUUUUGUUAAUGACUUCGACUUGGUUGUUUGCCUGCGAAUGGUUCGGCGUUGAAAAAUGUUUCUUGAUGCCAAACUCUUUACAGAAAUCUGAAAGUCGUGCGUUGUUGAACUAUUUUCUAUUGUCCGUAACGAUAGAGUGAGGUAUGCCGAACCUACAGAUGAUUGAUUUCCACAAAAAAUCCGUUGUUUUUUGUUCAAUGAUCUUGGCAAGUGGCUCUGCCUCGGCCCAUUUAGUGAAGUAAUAUACUGCGACGAUGGCGAAUUUUACACCUCCUUUUCCAAUGGGUAUAGGUCCAAUUAGGCUGACCCCCCAUUUUGCAAAGGGCUAAGGUGCUAUUACCCAGUUUAGUUCACGCGGUGGAGUAUUUAUGAUGGGGGCAAGGCGAUGGCACUUUUCGUAUCUUUUGACAAGUUCAAGGGAAUCACGUCUUAUUGUAGGCCAAAAGUAUCCUUAUCGUAUGAUCUUGUGGGUUAGGGAAAGCCCACAGAAAUGGUUUCCACAUAUUUCUUCGUGAACGUCUUGCAGGGCGUGCUGAGCUUUUUCUUCGUUCAAACAUCUUAAUAAGGGCGUAGGAUAUCCCCGUUUGUAUAGUACAUUGUCAAUGAAUGUACAUGGCCGACUUGAUUCGGAGCUUUCUAGCCACUGCAAAGUUUUUGGGACAUUUCCUGGUCCUUAGGUAGGCGAUGAUCUCGUCCUACCUAGUUGGUUUGGGGUUUAUUAUCAUAAGGACCACUUUGGCCAGCUCGAUGGACGGUAAGGAUAUUCUUCCCACGGGGAUGCUAUCGAAUUCUUCGAUUCCCUCACCGGUGGCUAGGCAGGCCAGUACGUUGGCGUGGUCAUUUUAAGAUCGGAGAAUCUGUUUGACUUGGGCGGUGUUGAACCAUCCAAGUUCUUUCCUUACAAUUCGUAGGUAAUUGUACAUUCUUUCUUCUUUCGCCAGAUAUACACCGUUGACCUGAUUCACGACUAGUUGGGAGUCGCUAUGUAUGAUUAGGUCAGAGAUCCCCAACCCUGAGGCCAUCCUUACUCCGGCAAUGAGAGCUUUGUACUCGGUCUCAUUGUUUGAAGCUUUAAAAUCAAAUGGCAAGGCUUCGUAGAAUAUGCGAUGUUCAGGGCUGAUUAAUACUACGCCAGCCCAUAUCGUUCUCUGGUGGAUGAACCAUCGACAUAAAGUUCCCAUGGGAUAUCUUUCGGUAGUUCCUUGAUUGGAGUGUUGCAGAACUCAGAGACGAAGUCGACGAGUGCUUGGCCCUUGAUGGAGGGUAUUUGAUGUCGAAUUGUCCGAGCUCAACUGCCCACUUUACUAUCCAACCUGAAGUGUCGGGUCUUUGCAAUGUUUGUCUCAAUGGAGAAUUGGUGAGACUUCAAUGGGGUGUUCCAAGAAAUAUGGCCUCAGUUUUCGCGCUGCCAUCAGCAGGGUGAAUUCCAGCUUUUCUACAAGUGAGUAUCUGAGCUCGACUUCGUGAGGCGCUUUGCUUAUGUAAUAGACUGGGUAUUGAACGCCGUUCUCUUCUCAGGUCAAAACUGCACUAAUGGUAUGUUCUGAAAUAGAUAAAUAUAGCUUGAGGACCUCGCCUGCCUUAGGUUUUGAAAGCAACGGAGGCUGAGCCAGUUGUUUCUUUAACUCGUUCCUCCUCGUAACGUGUCAAAGAAGGAUUUGCAUCGGUCUGUAGACUUAGAGACGAACCGGCUGAGGGUGACAAUCCUUCCGGUUAAACUUUGUACCUCUCUGGGUUUGGUUGGAGGCUUUAUUUGGAUAACAGCUUGUAUUUUUUCAGGAUUUGCCUCGAUUAUUUACAAUAUAACAUAGGAACCUUCCAGAGCUGACCUCGAAAGCACAUUUCCUAGGGUUUAACUUCAUUCCAUACUUUCUCAGAAUAUCGAACAUCUCGGCUAGGUGCCGACAGUGGUCUUUGGCCUUGACGCUUUUGACCAGCAUAUCAUCAACAUACAUUUCUAUUGUUUUUUCGAUCUGUUGGGAAAACAUGGAAUUCACAAGUCGUUGAUAGGUGGCACCAACAUUUUUGAGACAAAUGGCAUUACUAUGUAGCAGUAAAGACCUCGGUUAGUUAUAAACGAGGUAUGUUCUUGAUCUGGACCAUACAUCAGUAUCUGGUUAUAUCCGAAGUGCGCGUCCAUGAAGUCGAGUAGUUCCUGUCCGACAGUGGCGUCCACCAUUUGAUCUAUUCUUGGUAAAGGAAAACUAUCUUUUGGGCAUGCUUUAUUGAGAUCGGUGAAGUCUAUGCAUACCCUCCAACCUCCAUUGUGUUUUUCACAAGGACCGAAUUUGCGACCCACUUCGAAUAUUUUGCCUCAUGGAGGAAACCAUUGUGCAACAAUUUUUGCACCUCCUUGUUGAGUGCUUCAUUUCUUUCAGGGUUCAGAGGUCGUCGUUUUUACUGCUUCGGCCGAACUGAGGGAUCCACCUGUAAUUUGUGACAAGCGACAUUGGGAUCUAUUCCUCUAAUGUCCCUGUGAUUCUAGGCAAGGUUUUGUCUAAUGAAGGCCACAAUUUCGCUUCGGGUGGAGGGCUGCAGCUCGCGCCCGACUUUGAGUUCUUUUAAUGGGUCGUCGGCACAAACUUGAACUCCUUCUAGUUCUUCGACGGGUACUCCACCUUCGAUCUCGGUCCGCAGGUCUAGUGGAAUUAGCUCGAAUUCCCAUAUAUUUGCCAUAUGUAUUCCCGAGGGGGUGCGUUGAUGGCUGGUGUAGGGUUUCCAUUGACAUCUUUUGCCGAGCUCCUUGUUUCCUUUGACUUUACCCACACCGUGGAGUAUGGGAAAUUUGAUUGAAUAGUGAUACAGGGACACUGCUGCUCUCAGGCUGAAUAGUAGGAGAUGUCCCAUUACAACAUCAUAAGACUAUGGAGCGUCAAAUACUACGAACUCGGAGUUUGUCUUCACCUGUCCGGGUGCUAAUCCUGACCCGACUUUGAGUUUGAUCGAUCCUUUGGCCAAAGUCAGGGCUCCGCUUAAUCCAAGGACCAUAUUUGGGUAUGGUUGAAUGAAGUUAGCAUGGAUACCCAUCAAUUUGAGGGUGUUGCUGAAUAUGAUGUUUAGAGCACUCCCUGUAUCCACCAAGACUUUGGGGAUGGUUACCCCGGCUACAGGUAACGAGAUUACCAGAACUACGGGGUAAGGAUAUGGGUUCACCUCUUUUUUGUCAAAGGGCAAUUGCUUAUCUGUGGCUUCUUGAGGUACUUUUCAGUUAUACUGAUCUCAGAGAGAUCCACAACGAUAGGUCUCUUCAGUCCAGCUUGCGUGUUUGCCCUGCCCCUUAGCAUGUUGACUUGUGGCUUUGGCAGGUCGAUAUUACUGGCCCUUGCUCUAGCUUGAUCUCCUCGGAUAAUCGUUUUCCCGUAAGGAGUGGGAAAUUUCAUGCAAUAAUGAUAAAUUGAUGUAGCAGCUUUUAGCUCGUAGAAAAUGGGUCGUCCCAAUAUUGCGUUAUAAUUGGAUGGCAAAUCGACCACCACGAAAUCUGCUAGGAUCCUUCUUUGGCGAAGAGCUUCGCCUAGCUCUACAACAAGGAUGAUGUGACCUCGAACUUUGAUAGGAUCCCCAGAGAAUCCUUGUGGUUUCCUUGAGUACGGUUGGAGAUAGCAUUCUGAUAUUUCUAACUGCCUCAAAGUUCGUGAGUACAGUAUCUUGUUCUGGGCCUAAGUCCUGCUAAUACGGCCAUGAGUGCUGCAUCGUCAGAUAUUUUUUCCACUUCCACGGAUUGCUUGUUGAAUCUGCUCAGAUAGCUUUUGAGGGUUUUACUUUUUCCCUGUUUGAUGCUUACUAGGCAUUCUUUGGGCAUGGUUCGGGCCUUGGAGCCCAUGACCUAGGCCAAGAAUGUCGUGGCCAGAUCAUUCCAAUUUUUUUUUCGAUCUCUGGUACAGUCUCCUAAACCAUCUCUGAGCUUUGUCUCCCAGAGUCAGGGGGAAUACCCGACACAUAAUUGCGUUGCUUGCCCCCCAUAGUUCCAUCCACGAGGUGUAUUUUUCAAGGUGGCUGAGGGGAUCACCAUCCCCUUCGUAUGCGGCCAUCGGGGGAAUUUUCAAUUUUCAGGUAAUGGUUCAAUCGGGACAUCCUUAGUGAAGGGAGAAUGUUGUUUGGUUUGAUUUAGUGUCACCUUUGUUUUUAGCCUCCAGGUCAGUGAUGCGUCUUUUCUGCGCACUUAGCUCGAGUUCUGUUUGUUCCAAUGGGCGUUUGAGGUCGGUUUGUCCUCGCGUAGGGGUUAGUGAAUGCUGGGUCCCCAAUCUGUCGAACACACUACCAGUCCUCCUCGCCCCGGGUUCCUUACUUUUGACCUCAUCGGUUCGACUUCUUGAGGAUUCUCAUCUUGAAAAGUGGAGAGUCCUUCAAGUGGGGGGACGCCUUACCUUUGUCCUUGCAGGGGAUUCCACCUCAGUAUUUGGUGGGGAUAAGUGGGCUUGACUCCGUUCCAGUCGUCCCACUGUAUUUGUCAGUUUUUCCAGGGCUUCCCUUAUGGCGGUCAUCUGAGGGUUUUGUCGUCGUAGAGAACUUGGUGGAGUAUUCGUUUCAUGAGGGUGGGUGUGAGAUGGGUUUCUGGAACUUGAGCUAUGGCUCAUGGCUCUCGAAUUUUGUGGAGAGAAUGAGACUAUUUUUCACAAUUGAGCCCCUCCUUCUAGCGCCAAACUGUUGACGUCAAAAUUAGCAAUGCUAAUUUUAAGCCAACUUUAAGAAAACGAGGAAUUCAUUGUUGAAAAAGACCACAAAAUAUGUUGAGAAAGUGUAAUUGUGUCAUGAGUUGUUAUGUUCAUUCACCUACCUUUUACAAGAGUCAUAUUCAACUAUUUAUACAUAGUUUCAGCCGAAAUUACAUCAAAUCAGUCAAAUCAGCUACAGUACUGAGCUCGGAACUCAGGUCGCCAAAUUCUCCUGUAAUUGGUUGACGAGGCUGGUGGCCAUGUGUCAAUGUUUUCCCUAGGUAAUGAUGACCUGCAAGGGGCUUCAGAUUUAGGACUUAGGAUUGGCGGUUUUGGGUGGUGAUGAUGUCACUUGUGGCAAGUGUGUAUGAUUGAUAAGGUGAUGUAAUAGGUAAUCAUGAUAUUUUUUUGAGAUAAUGGGGGGGAUUGUCUGAGCUAGGAGCAGUGACCGAACUCAAAUCUGCCUGAGGUAGGUUUAGCGAACUGUUUUUAUUAGGUCGGAGUCCGGUUGUCAGAAUGUGUUAUUAAUUCUCAAUUAAUUAACAUUCACAUUAAUCUAGACUCAAUGAAUUUUCACUUAAUGAAUUUUGAAUUAUAUGAAUCUAGAGUUAUUAUAGAUGAAUUCAUUCAUAUUCAUGUAUAUGAAAAUUUUAAUGGCUGUUUAGAUUUAUGUAUUAACAAUUACUUUUUACAUAUCAAAUAUAAUAUAAAAAGAUUGUUCAUUUAUAGUAUUUCACCAUUACNNNNNNNNNNNNNNNNNNNNNNNNNNNNNNNNNNNNNNNNNNNNNNNNNNNNNNNNNNNNNNNNNNNNNNNNNNNNNNNNNNNNNNNNNNNNNNNNNNNNNNNNNNNNNNNNNNNNNNNNNNNNNNNNNNNNNNNNNNNNNNNNNNNNNNNNNNNNNNNNNNNNNNNNNNNNNNNNNNNNNNNNNNNNNNNNNNNNNNNNNNNNNNNNNNNNNNNNNNNNNNNNNNNNNNNNNNNNNNNNNNNNNNNNNNNNNNNNNNNNNNNNNNNNNNNNNNNNNNNNNNNNNNNNNNNNNNNNNNNNNNNNNNNNNNNNNNNNNNNNNNNNNNNNNNNNNNNNNNNNNNNNNNNNNNNNNNNNNNNNNNNNNNNNNNNNNNNNNNNNNNNNNNNNNNNNNNNNNNNNNNNNNNNNNNNNNNNNNNNNNNNNNNNNNNNNNNNNNNNNNNNNNNNNNNNNNNNNNNNNNNNNNNNNNNNNNNNNNNNNNNNNNNNNNNNNNNNNNNNNNNNNNNNNNNNNNNNNNNNNNNNNNNNNNNNNNNNNNNNNNNNNNNNNNNNNNNNNNNNNNNNNNNNNNNNNNNNNNNNNNNNNNNNNNNNNNNNNNNNNNNNNNNNNNNNNNNNNNNNNNNNNNNNNNNNNNNNNNNNNNNNNNNNNNNNNNNNNNNNNNNNNNNNNNNNNNNNNNNNNNNNNNNNNNNNNNNNNNNNNNNNNNNNNNNNNNNNNNNNNNNNNNNNNNNNNNNNNNNNNNNNNNNNNNNNNNNNNNNNNNNNNNNNNNNNNNNNNNNNNNNNNNNNNNNNNNNNNNNNNNNNNNNNNNNNNNNNNNNNNNNNNNNNNNNNNNNNNNNNNNNNNNNNNNNNNNNNNNNNNNNNNNNNNNNNNNNNNNNNNNNNNNNNNNNNNNNNNNNNNNNNNNNNNNNNNNNNNNNNNNNNNNNNNNNNNNNNNNNNNNNNNNNNNNNNNNNNNNNNNNNNNNNNNNNNNNNNNNNNNNNNNNNNNNNNNNNNNNNNNNNNNNNNNNNNNNNNNNNNNNNNNNNNNNNNNNNNNNNNNNNNNNNNNNNNNNNNNNNNNNNNNNNNNNNNNNNNNNNNNNNNNNNNNNNNNNNNNNNNNNNNNNNNNNNNNNNNNNNNNNNNNNNNNNNNNNNNNNNNNNNNNNNNNNNNNNNNNNNNNNNNNNNNNNNNNNNNNNNNNNNNNNNNNNNNNNNNNNNNNNNNNNNNNNNNNNNNNNNNNNNNNNNNNNNNNNNNNNNNNNNNNNNNNNNNNNNNNNNNNNNNNNNNNNNNNNNNNNNNNNNNNNNNNNNNNNNNNNNNNNNNNNNNNNNNNNNNNNNNNNNNNNNNNNNNNNNNNNNNNNNNNNNNNNNNNNNNNNNNNNNNNNNNNNNNNNNNNNNNNNNNNNNNNNNNNNNNNNNNNNNNNNNNNNNNNNNNNNNNNNNNNNNNNNNNNNNNNNNNNNNNNNNNNNNNNNNNNNNNNNNNNNNNNNNNNNNNNNNNNNNNNNNNNNNNNNNNNNNNNNNNNNNNNNNNNNNNNNNNNNNNNNNNNNNNNNNNNNNNNNNNNNNNNNNNNNNNNNNNNNNNNNNNNNNNNNNNNNNNNNNNNNNNNNNNNNNNNNNNNNNNNNNNNNNNNNNNNNNNNNNNNNNNNNNNNNNNNNNNNNNNNNNNNNNNNNNNNNNNNNNNNNNNNNNNNNNNNNNNNNNNNNNNNNNNNNNNNNNNNNNNNNNNNNNNNNNNNNNNNNNNNNNNNNNNNNNNNNNNNNNNNNNNNNNNNNNNNNNNNNNNNNNNNNNNNNNNNNNNNNNNNNNNNNNNNNNNNNNNNNNNNNNNNNNNNNNNNNNNNNNNNNNNNNNNNNNNNNNNNNNNNNNNNNNNNNNNNNNNNNNNNNNNNNNNNNNNNNNNNNNNNNNNNNNNNNNNNNNNNNNNNNNNNNNNNNNNNNNNNNNNNNNNNNNNNNNNNNNNNNNNNNNNNNNNNNNNNNNNNNNNNNNNNNNNNNNNNNNNNNNNNNNNNNNNNNNNNNNNNNNNNNNNNNNNNNNNNNNNNNNNNNNNNNNNNNNNNNNNNNNNNNNNNNNNNNNNNNNNNNNNNNNNNNNNNNNNNNNNNNNNNNNNNNNNNNNNNNNNNNNNNNNNNNNNNNNNNNNNNNNNNNNNNNNNNNNNNNNNNNNNNNNNNNNNNNNNNNNNNNNNNNNNNNNNNNNNNNNNNNNNNNNNNNNNNNNNNNNNNNNNNNNNNNNNNNNNNNNNNNNNNNNNNNNNNNNNNNNNNNNNNNNNNNNNNNNNNNNNNNNNNNNNNNNNNNNNNNNNNNNNNNNNNNNNNNNNNNNNNNNNNNNNNNNNNNNNNNNNNNNNNNNNNNNNNNNNNNNNNNNNNNNNNNNNNNNNNNNNNNNNNNNNNNNNNNNNNNNNNNNNNNNNNNNNNNNNNNNNNNNNNNNNNNNNNNNNNNNNNNNNNNNNNNNNNNNNNNNNNNNNNNNNNNNNNNNNNNNNNNNNNNNNNNNNNNNNNNNNNNNNNNNNNNNNNNNNNNNNNNNNNNNNNNNNNNNNNNNNNNNNNNNNNNNNNNNNNNNNNNNNNNNNNNNNNNNNNNNNNNNNNNNNNNNNNNNNNNNNNNNNNNNNNNNNNNNNNNNNNNNNNNNNNNNNNNNNNNNNNNNNNNNNNNNNNNNNNNNNNNNNNNNNNNNNNNNNNNNNNNNNNNNNNNNNNNNNNNNNNNNNNNNNNNNNNNNNNNNNNNNNUGCGAUAGAUCACAAAUAAAGCAUGCGCAAUGAUUAGAAAAUGUUUCUCCACACACCGGGACCAAGUACAAAUAGAGUAAAUUGUAUAUGUGAUUCCACGUGAAACGUGCCACUCAUUCCAUGCAAGUAAGACUCAAAACCUUAAAUUUGUGAGAAGAGACAGCCGAAUCACCGAUGUAGGUGUCAACACCCAGUUGUUUGAAGGUCAAAUCCAAUGCCACUAAGACCUAUAAUCAUUAAAAUAUGGUGCAAAAUUGUUCUUUCUCCCCCUAUCAUCAAGGACCUUCAUUUUUUUUUAUCUUAUGCGUAAUACUAUCUCCAUUAAGCUACUAAGAAGAAAUGAGCAUUGUGUUGGUGACUCCUAAAGCAGUUGGCUUUAGGGUACCAGGUUAUGAGAAACCUCUCAGACUUAAUUACUCAAGUGAACUAGGUUCCAAAGAUAGGUAUAAGAUUUAAUACAAUAAAUACUCUUUUGAAUCACUUAAGGGUACACCAAAAGUUAGGUCAUCUAGGCCAAGAUCAAUUCAAACCCAAUGUUAGCUCAGCGAUCGAUGAUAGCCAUCCCAAGUCUCACAAAUGUGUCAAUACUCACUCACACGGUCCUAGUGUGUGCUGUGCAGAUAUAAUAUGAAGUGACAUAUACUAAGUACUUCACACAGACUCAAUAUAAGUGAUGAGAAUUAGAAACUAAUCAUGCGUUGAAUGCACAUUUGAUCCCAAAUUGUAAGUCCGAGUAAACAAUUACAAUGCAAAAAUUAAACGUGAUUACCAGUCCCGAAAUUUUUAUUUCAUUUAUUUAUUAAAACCCAAAAUGAAAGACAUAUGCAAAUGAACACAAACAAGCAAUGUAAUGAAUGCAGAAAUAAAUUACUGAAAUAAACUAAACAUGCAUGUAUCUAUGAAGACGAUCAAGGAGGAAUACAGAUGCCAAUAUCCUUCCUAAGUGACUCGAAUCUCAACCCAUCUAGAGGUUUAGUGAACAGAUCGGCAAGUUGAAUUUUAGUAAAUAUGUGUUCAAGUGAUGCCACAUUGGACUCAACUAGUUCUCGAAUAAAGUGAUGACAAAUGUCAAUAUGUUUGGUCCUAGAAUGCUGAACAAGAUUUUUUGAUAUGUUGAUAGCACUGGUAUUAUUACAGAAAAUAGUCAUAGUACCCUGAUUUACCCCAUAGUCACUCAGCAUUUGCUUCAUCCAAAGUAGUUGAGUGCAACAACUACCAGCUGUAAUGUAUUCUGCCUCGGCUGUAGACAAGGAAUUUGAGUUUUGUUUCUUACUCAUCCAUGAGACAAGAUUAGAACCAACAUAGAAACAGCCACCCGAGGUACUCUUUCUAUCGUCAGCAUUUUCGGCCUAAUCGGCAUCAGAAUAGCCGGCUAAUUCAAGAUUGGACUCUCUGGAAUACAAGAUCCCGUGAUUUACUAUCCCAUUGUCAUAUCUAAUAAUACGCCUCACUGCACUUAGAUGGGACUCCUUAGGAUCAGUUUGAAAUCUAGCACAUACUCCAACACUAAAUGUUAUGUCAGGUCUACUGGCUGUAAGGUAUAGUAGAUUGCCUAUCAUGCUCUUAUACACAGUCUGAUCAACACUCUUACCUGUAGGGUAUGUCUUAACUUAACACUUGUGCUCAUGGGUGUCCUUGUGUAUUUCUUACUAUCCAAGUCAAAUCUCUUUACAAGGUCUUUGGCAUAUUUUGAUUGAGAGAUAAACAGCCCACAAUUAGUUUGCUUUACUUGAAGACCAAGGAAGUAACUUAGCUCUCCAACCAUGCUCAUUUCAAAUUCUUGUUUCAUGCAUUCAGUAAAUUCAAGAGCAAUGGAGUCAAUAGGAGAGCCAAAGAUGAUGUCAUCGACAUAGAUCUGUGCUACAGUUAUUGUUUCUUCAAUAUGUCUAAUGAAUGUUCUGUCAGCACCACCUCGUGAAAACCCAUGCUCAACGAGGUAAGUGGUGAGUCUGUCAUACCAAGCUCUAGAGCUUGUUUCAGACCAUAUAGUGCUUUAUUGAGUUUGUAGACAUAAUGAGGAAACUUAGGAUCAAUGAAUCCUUUUGGCUGUUCAACAUAUGUCUCUUCUUGAAGUGUUCCAUUUAAGAAUAAACUAUUGACAUCCAUUUGAUAUAGCUUAAACCCUAAGGUACAUGCAACUACAAGAAGAAUGUGAAUGGACUCAAGACGAGCAACAGGGACAAAAGUCUCAUCAAAAUCUGCCCCUUCAACCUGAGUGUACCCCUGGGCAACUAGUCUAGCCUUAUUUCUAGUUAUGGUACCUUGGUCAUCAGUUUUGUUCUUGAAAAUCCACUUACUACCUACAUUACAAUCAUCAGGCCUAGGAACUAGAUACCAAACAUUAUUUCGAACAAAUUGAUUAAGCUCCUCAUGCAUGGCAUUCACCCAACAUUCAUCUCUAAGGGCUUCCUCUACUUUCUUUGGUUCAAUCUGGGAUACAUAGCUAGUAUAUGUUAGUUUAUUUAGAACUCUCUUUCGUAACCUCAUACCUUCAUCUAAAUUCCCAAUGAUGUUAACCUUAGGAUGAUUAGAUUUGACCGUGGAAGAUGGUUCUCUUGGAAGCUUAGAUUGAUCACAAUUUAGUAGACCCCGAUCAGAGAUGUCUGCACCUUCAGAGGAGCGUGGAGAUUUUGGAAUUAAUUGCUCUUUAUUUUCUGCAAUGGCUCCUUGAUCAUCACUUAGAUCUUCUACUUCUGGCCCAUUUUUAGCACUCUUUCCCUCAGUGAAGGUAUCAUCAAUAACAACAUUUACAGAUUCCAUGACACUUUAAGUAUGCAAGUUGUAAACUCGGUCGGCUUUACCGUUCUUAGAAUAUCCUAGAAAAACCCCAUCAUCACUUUUGGAAUCAAACUUGCCUAGAUUUUCUCUAUCCCUCAGAAUGUAGCACAUACUGCCAAAUACACGAAAGUAUUUAACAGUAGGCUUAUUGCCUUUCUAGAUCUCAUAGGGAGUCUUGUCUGUUUUCAGUACCAGGUAUACCCUAUUUACUAUGUGGCACGUUGUGUUAAUGGCUUCACCCCAGAAAUGCAUUGCUAUAUCCUUGCCGUGAAGCAUGGCCCUAGCCAUUUCUUGAAGCACUCUAUUCUUUCUCUCAACAACUCCAUUUUGCUGUGGAGUGGUUGGUGAGGAGAACUCAUGAUUAAUCCCUUCCUCCAGACAGAAGUUUUCAAGAUUGAAGUUUUCCAAUUCUUUCCCAUGAUCACUUCGAACCCUAAAAAUGGAAAGAUUUUGUCCAAUUUUGAGCCUUUUACAUAAGGACUUAACCAUAUCAUCCGUCUUAGAUUUUUCUCUUAAUAGUUCAAUCCAGGUGUAUCUAGAAAAGUCAUCUAUCACAACCAGAAUAUACCGUUUGCCUCCUAGGCUCUCUACUCUAAAUGGUCCUAUUAAAUCCAUAUGGAGAAGUUCUAAGGGUCUAUUUGUCAAUAUUUUCGAGGUUUGCUUAUGGUUUAUCCUGAGUUGCUUUCCUUGUUGACACGGCUUGCACACAACAUUUUCACUUUGAUCAAUCUUAGGUAAACAAUCGACAAUCUUCUUUUUGACCAAUUUAGACAGACUUCUGUAAUUAACAUGAUCUAACCUUUGAUGCCAAAGUUCAGACAUAUCAAUUUUAGCACUACUGUACACAUAGUUCAAGUUUGGGAGAACUCCAUAAUAAUUAUCAGAUGUUCUAACACCUUCAAGAACAAUAACCACCUGUAGGGUCAUAAACAGUGCAUCUCUUUUGGACAAAACUCACUUCAUAGUCAGCAUCACAGAUUUGACUAAUGCUCAACAAGUUGGACUUAAAACCCUCUACAUAUAGCACAUUAGAUAUCGUAGAAAGUCCAGAAAUGGUGAUGGAGCCUUUACCUCGGAUGGGUACCGUAGCUCCGUUCCCAAAGGUAACUACACCACCGUUGCAGUCAUCAAAAGAAGAGAAUAUGGCCUUGUUACCAUACAUGUGUCUAGAACAAGCACUAUCAAGAUAUCACAUGCAUGUAUUUUGAGCCUUAUAUGCUACAUGAGCAACAAAAUAUUUUAGAUUCUCACCAUACUCACCCACAUCAGAUUUCUUUACCUAAACUUUUCUAGAGAUCGAGGUGAUCCUAGUCAAACUUGCUACUAUCUCAGUUAAGUGACUAACCUGAUUUGAAAGGAAGUUUACUUGACUAGGGAUAUCCUAACUUCUAAUCCUAUUUGCUAGCUUUCGAUACCUAGGUCUCGUGUGACCUAAAGCACUGCAAUGAUGACAAGUGGGUAUGAACCUAGGUUCAGAUGCAUGUGAGUGUUGAUCCUGAAAUUUAGGUGUAGAAAUCUUACGGGCUCUAGUGGCCUUUAAUCCAGUGAAAUUCUUAUCUUUGGAUUCUAGAUUGGUUGAAACAUUAGACCUAUUGGAAGCGGGGACAAAUGUGGUCUUAGACGAACUAGACACAUUGCCAUCACUCUUCACAAAUCCUAGGCCUUGCCUAUUUCCAGCUGGUUUGUUCAUUCCAAACAGAUCAUCUAGUUUCUUAGUUCCAGUCAUAAACGAUUGCAGUUGAAUACUGGAUUUCUCUAACUCACAAGUCAGUGUCUUAACCCCGUCUUCUAAUUUCUUAUUGACACACUUCAACUCACUGAGAUUCUUAGAUGAGACUUGAAGAUCAUCUUGAUCUCCAAGAAUCAACGAGGGCUCUGGAAGGUUGUGUUGUGGUGUUUGAUGAAUGUUGAUUUGAUUUUUUUGGGUCAUUGCACGAAUCAAAUAUGGGAUUGAAUGAGAGAAUCAAAGUGUGGAGAGUUUUCUUCAAUUUCAAUCCUUGAGAGAACAUCUGAAAAUCGGCGCAAUUUAAUUUAUAUAAAGUGUAUUUGGACAUUUGGGUCAGGUUAAAAAUUCGAAAAAAGGAAAAUAGGGUUUUCUAGGUAACACCGUCGUUCGAGCGAAAAGCGAGUGACACUGUUUCACUCGAGUGAAAUGGGGGCGAUAAGCGAGCGAUGUCCUUUUUAUUUUUGUCGCUCGAGCGACCAUUUGACGAGCAGCUAGCGAAACUUCAACGACACAUCUUUCCCUACUUCAUAGCUCGAACCCUAACAUACUUUGACAAAACUGUAACUUAGUCCUUCAUCUUUUACACAUGUACAAAUUGACCCCUAACCUUUAAACAUUGACAAAUUGACCACAAACUUUUGAACAUUUACAAAUUUAGCCUUUUGUUCACAGAAUAGCCAACACAAAAUAUAACAGAAUUGAAAUUAUUUUUGAAUUUUGCUAUGUAUGUAUAAGUAAAUUCCUAAUAGUGAUGUUAGAGUUGACACGUGUUUGUUAGAAGUUGUUUUUAAAUCUUGGAACAAUCAAUAGUUGAUUAUUAUUAUUUUUUAUUUAUAGCUUUAAAAAUUUGACUUUCAUUUUCUAAAUUAUACUUUUGAAAAGAAAAUGAACUUUUGGUUAAAAGGAGUCAGAAAGAAGUUGGCAAUGAUGAAGAUGGGCAACAACUGUCGUCAAUCUUAGCUACACCAGUGAACAACGUUGAUGUAAGGCCUUGCGAGACGGUGCUCACUAUAUUGCACUUAUAGCUGCGUUAGGCACCCCUGUCGUCAUGGGAUUGCUAUCGUUAUCAUUGUUGGAUCUUGUAGUAGUGUUGUGCAUUGCUGCUCCUUCCACGGAAGUGCAUCGCCACUUUUAACAAUGGUGGCACACCGUGGUUUUAUCCAAACAAGCAGUGACGACUAUUAGCACCACAAGAAAGGUAUGGAAAAAAGAAAAUUUAAGGGUUUUGAAUCAGUUUUGGGGUUGAGAGCCUCGAUUACAAUUUGUGAAUUUUGAACCUAUGCCUACAAUUUUAUUUCUGGGGUUAUAUUGUAUUUUUGAAAUAAAUGGCCUAUUCUAAAAUUUAAGAGCCUAAUUUUAAUUUAAUAUAGGAUGAGAAUGUAAUUUUUCAAAAGAGUAUUAAAUGCAAUUUUGAAAAAUGAUUUGAAUUUGAUUUUAAAAAUUCUUUUGACCUAAAUUUCAAAUUUGACAGAAAUUUUAAUUUCAAUCCAUUUAAAAUUGUCGACUAAUACCACAAUCUAAGAAUUGUUAUUAAGCAUAAGAAAAUUUGUAAUGUCCUUGAACAACCUUUUUUUAAAGAUACCCACUAAGAAUUCUAGUCAGGAAGAGGUGGCUGUUUAUCUCUAGUCAAGGAUGUUUAUAAUAAACACUGUGAUGAUAAUACUGUAACAUUUUUUUAGAGCUAUGUCACCGGAGUUGUAAAAGCAACAUGAGGGUAUGGAUGCUAACACUAUGAUUUUUCAUGUCAAGGAGUUGUACAAUGAACAAUCAGUUAUGGAAAGAUAUGAGACUCCUAAGCAACUAUAUUGAUGCAAAUGGAAGAAGGAUUUUCAUUAGUACUCAUAUAAUAAAGAUGAUUGGCCACAUUGAGAAGUUGUCUCAAUUGGAUUUAGUCAUGGAUCAUGAAAAAAGUAUUAACUUGAUUAUGCAAUUUCUACCAGAGAGCUAUUUAUAAUUUUUUAUAAAUUUUAAUAUGAAUAAACUCGAGUACACACUCCUCGAGUUGCUAAACAUGCUUAAGAAUAUCGAGCCCAACAUUAAAGUAAGAAGUGGACAAGUCUUGUACAUUGAUUCCUCUGAUGACACAAAGAGGAAAUCUAAAGAAGGCUUUGGGAAGGCAUUUGAGAUGGCUAUGGUAAUCAAAGAAAAAAAGGACAAUACCAAGUCGGAUGACCCUUGCAAUCAUUGUGGAAUUAAAGAUUAUUGCAAGACGAGCUACAAGGCUUACCUUGCGAGCUUGAAGUGAAAGAAGUCUUUUAAAGUUCCUAUUUCAAACAUCUUCGUAAUUAAGGUUAAUAUGUCCACCUUAUUAGUUUUAUGGAUAAUAGAUACCAGAUAUAGAUUUUAUAUUUGUAUAAAUAUGUAGAAACUAAAAGAAAGUAGACGACUAGAAGAAGUUGAUAUGCACAUUGGAAAUAAAGUAAGGGUUGCUACAUUACCUAUAGAAAUAUACUUCUUGUGAUUACCUUCAGACUUAUUAGAGAAAUGUUAUUUUGCUAUCACCAUUACCAAGAACAUUAAUUUAAUUUCAUGUUUUGACAUGAAUUAUUUUUCAAUUAAAAUUAAGGAAAAUAAUUGUUCAUUUUAUCUUAUUGAGAUAUUUUAUAGUUGUGUAAAUUAAAAAUGUCAUUUAUACCCUACAUACUGAGUACUCUAUUAUGAGUAUAGAAGAUAAAAAGCACAGAAAGUUGUAACCUAAAUGAUACAUAUCUUGGGCAUUGCAGAUUUGGUCGUAUAAAUGAAAAACGCAUUUCCAAGUUACGUAGAGAUAGAUAUUUGGGAUCAAUUGAUUUUAAAUUAUUUGACAAAUAUGAAUUAUUCUUAUUAAGCAAGAUUACCAUAUCCUCAUUUACUUGAAAUAGAAAAAGAGUUGUACAAUUACUAGGCCUAUACAUAAUGAUGUAAGUGAACCCAUGUCAAUCACUACUAGAUGAGGUUUCUUUUAUUUCUUCACAUUUACUAUGACCAUUCUAGAAAUGGUUAUGUAAACUUGAUGAAAUUCAAGCAUGGAACUUUUGAAAAAGUUCCAGGAAAUCAAGUUAGACGUAGAGAAAAUAAUAAGGUAAAGGUAAUUUCACACUAUGAUCUACUCAAGGUAAAGAAUGUCUUAAAGGUAAAUUUUUAGAUUAUCUAAAGGAGAAUGAAAUUUUCUUGUAGCGAACUACACCAUAUACACCUAAGGUAUUGGUGUAACUAAAGGGGGAAAAUCACACAUUGUUAGAUACGGUGCUAUCAAUGAUGAGCCUGGGUCUGAUCCUAUACCUAUAGAGAGAUAAGCUCUAGAUCAAGAAGAAAAGACUCCUGAGAACACUGUGGCUCGACGUGAGUCUAGUAGGAUCAUUCGAUCUCCUAGAAGAUAUGAAUUCACGAUUUUUAAUCAGGCAUUAAUAAUCGAGGAUGAUGAAUUUAAUACUUAUGCAAAGCAAAGUCAAAUAUUGACUUAAAGAGAUAAUAGGAGGACUUGAAAUUUGAGAUGAGCUCAGUAUAUGCAAAUAAGGUAUGGACCUUAGUCGACCCACCUGAUGGGAUAAAACCAUAGGCUUUAAAUUUAUUUAUAAGAAAAAGGUUGACUUGGAUGGUAGCAUCCGUAUAUAAAAAGUAAGGCUAGUAGCAAAAAUGUUAUAAAUAAAGACAAGAGUUGACUUUGAUGUAACCUUUUCACAUGUAGCCAUGCUUAAGUUCAUAUGAAUCUUCCUUGUGAUAGCUGCAUACUAUGACUAUAAGAUAUAACAAACGAUGUCAAAACUACAUGUCUUAAUGGGAACUUACAAGAGGAAGUGUACAUUACACAAUAUGGUGGUUUUGAAUCUAAUGAUGUUAACAAUGAAUGCAAGCUUGAACGAUCUAUAUACGAUUAAAACAAGCUUAUAGAGCUGAAGUCUUUGCUUUAAUAAGACAAUAAAAAAGUAUGGUUUUAUUAAAAAAUGAAAACAAACUGAUGCGAUUCAUGGCAUGAAGGAAAGUUCAAGCAAAGAUCUAUUGAUCGUUGAAGAAAGGCUUAUGAUUAGGUCAUGAACAAAGAAAGUUAAAGAAGCAAUGUGACUACUUGCUCGUGCUACAGUGGACGGAACAUUGAUCAUGGCAAGCAAAGGAACAAAACUUGUGUUGGACUUAGGAGAAGAAACAUGAUGGAUCAACUUUGUUCAAACAAUAGACAAAGGAGCUAAAACGAGGCCUAUCCAACUGCAUGGUGCAAAACUACAUGUGGUCUCAUGUAACUAGGCAGAAAAUCCAACUGAGGAGUUCAAUGCUGAAAACCCAAGAAUGACUAACGAAGAGGAGGUAAAUUGAUUAUCUAAAUCUUUUUCGAAAAUAAAUUCAAGUUUAAGCAAUUAGCAAAUAACAAGCAAUAUAACAUAAAAAAACAAGUAGAAGGGAAUAUAAGGCGCAAAUGAUAUAUGGAGGUUCAAUCCAAACAAUGAUCUACGUCCCCUGUUACCAAGCUCUCCGUUAUGAGCAAAGCCUUUUCACUAUGGUUGAUUGACUUGGUGCAAAACAACUCUUACAAUACUUUUGGUGACUUAAAACCAAUGAUUACCUAUCCUUUUACAACAUUGAGCUUCCUAGGACCUCAACCUGACCCACAAUAAAAAAUAAUAAAAUAAAUAUUACAAGUAAAAGCUUCUUUCUUAAUAAAUGAUAUGAACUUAAUUGAGUAUAAAGAGAGAAGUAGGCUUAACACUUCAAUAAAUAGCAAGGAGUGUAGCUCAAGCGCUCGUUGAAAAACUUUGAUUAAGAUAAAAGAUAUUUGCAAGUUUUGAUUACUCAAAAUUUUUUUCAAAAAUCAAUUAAUUUGAUCUUUUAAAGAUUGAGAAACAGGUAGAAAAAGAUCAAUAAAUGCCUCACUUAAAUGCUCAAGAAAGUAUACGAAUAAAUGCAAGGUGAUGGGGUAUUUAUAGUUGUAGAACUAUCAAAAAGUCUGUCCUACAGGACAAGUCAUAUUGGACGUUCACUAUCGUACCGGACGGUUUACUAGCAUUGUAUUUCAGAGUGCUUAAAUUUUUUUUUUUACCAUUGCUUCUAUCGAACAUCUGCUACGGCAUUUUUUAUAAAAAUGUUUCUUCAACGAUUUUGACAAAAGUAAUUACUUUGAAAAACAUUUUUACUUGAUUUUUCAAGAUAAGUGGCAUUUUAUAAUAUAAGAUUGAAUUCGUUAUCUUAAAAAAUAUCUUAUGUAAAUAUUUUAGUGAGAUAAUUUUCCUUAUGUAUAAAACCGACACUUGAGCCUUUUAAGAUUUAUUGCCAAAUAUUGAAGUAUACUACCUUUACAUAUGAGGUUAAAAUGUCUAAAUCUAUAAUCUUCGAUAAGGCUCUUUGUCUUGACGUGCAUGCAAGACAUAUGCUUUUCAUUUCAAUAAAAAUCUUUAUAACUUCGAUUUUACUUUCGUGUCAAUUAUUGCCUUGUUUCAAACUUGGCCUCUUCAAAAUUGAUUUGCAAUUUCUCUAUCAAUACUCGAAUUCAAUUUGUUAGAAACAAAACUCAAUUGUCUAUGAUAAUCAAAAUGAGAAGUCAACCAUAGGUCAACAUAUGCAACCACAUCCAAUAGAACUAUGUGAAUUUUAUAAAAUUUGUGAAAUCUCCUAAUUUAGUCAAAAUUCUGUAUUUUUGGUAUCCUUUUGUAAUCUUUGGAAUUUGAUUUUGUUUUGCCUAAGUUUACAAAAUCUCCUAAUUUAGUUGAAACUCUUAAUUUUUGGUAUCUUUUGUAAUCUUUAGAAAUUGAUUUCUUUUUAACUAGGUUUACAUGAGUUCAUUAUAUAUAAAACUCAUUAUAUUCAUUAUAGAACAAUUUUGAUAUAAUUUGAUAGAUUAAUUUGUGAGCAAAUUUGCUUUUAAUCUUUGUUCAUCGUUGAACUAAUUUUGAACAUAUCAUAUUUAUUUAUUGUGACGUUCAAAUAAUUCGGGUGAGAUUCUUGAAUCUUGUGAUUACAGGGUCAACAUAUUCUCUGUGAUUGUGUUCGUUCGUUGGUUCAAUAUUUUUGGAUCAAGCUCUAAACAUCAAAUCUUGGUUUUCUUGGGUUUGAAUCAAUCUUGUACAGAUUUCAUAGCUAUUAUUGCUACACGGGUUCAUACUAAUUGGUACUAGAGCCUAGUCCAAAAAUAGGAUCAUAUCAUUGUCCAUUUUGUUUGAGUCUUCUAUUUUGUUUUGUUUUCAUUCUUUACACUUUUUCUUGUUCUUCACGCUCUUUGACUUUUGAGUCUUUAAUCCGUAAAAAUACAAAAAAAUUUCCAGAAGUUGUUUGUGUGCUAAUUUAGCACCCAAAUCAAUUUCUUUUCUUUUGCUGGUAUUGUAGUUGAAUUUUCGGGUAAAAAUUUCAAAUUUAAACAAAAUUCUGGAAAUUGUCAACAGCAUACAAUUUAUUUUUUUUAGUUGAAAAAAGAAGAAGAAGAAGGAGAUGUCCAAUCAAAAGUUAAGAACCACUUUCUUGGAUUUCUAAGUUAUAAUUUUUCGCUCACAUUAUAGUUUAAAUUUUUCGAGAAUAAAACUUGGUUGAGACCAAAUUUUUUUUUUGAAGUACUUGCGGGAAAGCAUUAAGUGGAAAAGGGCAAGAGUGGUGAGACUAAUAGAGGGAUAAAGCCAAAUAUGGGUGAUACACAAGUGCAUAGAUAUAAGGCAAAUCUUACUUUAGAUUUAGGAUGUCUCACAGAAACAAUUAUACUUCAAGUGGGAAUAAUAAUCAAAUCAACAUGUUGGAUGUGAUGACACGAAGGUUCGGGAGGCUGUUUGAAGAUGUUAGAGACAAGUUGGAUAGGUAAGAGGUGUGUAUAGAGAGAUAAGACCCAUUGCCUACUAAUUUACAUGAAGAACAACCUAGAGGAGUUCCUAGUGCAAGGAGGCAAGGUAGGCGAAAGUCUAGGAUGGAGAUUUGUGGGGGAAAGAAUUGAGGAUAGAGGAGUUAGGCAUGAAAUGAGGCAUAGAGAUCUUGUUGGGAGAUGAAGUCGAUAAAAGUACGGGCAAUAUCAAAAUGAUAAUUCGCUCAUUCAAAGAAAGGAGUGAUCCAGAAGCGUACUUGAAGUGUGAGAAGAAGCUAAAGUUGAUAUUUGAUUGCCAUAACUACUCCAAGGAUAAAAAGGUAAAGAUUGCUAUAUUUGAGCUUACUAGUUAUAUUAUUACUUGGUGAGGGAGUGAAAUUUAAGAAGAUGAAUCGUGAGAGACUUAUUAAUACAUAGGAAAAAUUAAAUGCUAGAAUGAGGAAGUGGUUCGUGCCUAAUCAUUACUAUAAGGAGCUUCAUAAAAAAUUGCAAACCCUCUAUCAUGGUUCCAAGAGUGUGGAGUAUUAUCAUAAGGAGAUGGAGAUUGUUAUGAUUAGAGCGAAUGUUGAGUAGGAUAGAGAGGUCACCAUGGCCCAAUUUUUAAAUGGUCUGAAUAGUGAAAUAGCUAAUGUAGUGGAACUACAACAUUAUGUGGAGUUGAAGGACAUACUAUAUGUAGCUAUGAAGAUGGAAAGACAAUUGAAGAGGAAGAGGACAACUGGAUAUUCAUCGGGUUCUAGUCUUUCUUGGAAAUAAAAAUGGGAUAAUAGCAAGGGAGCUGAAGUUAUUUCAAAGAGCAAAACUAAACUACAAAAGGGAAAAUAUGAAAUUUCUAGCAUGGUCACAUCCAAGGCAAAAUCCCAACCAUCUAGAAGUUAAGACAACAAAUGCCUUAGUUGCUUGGGAUUGGGACACAUUGUGUCUUAAUAUCCAGACAAAAGGACAAUGAUUCUGCUAGACAAUGGAGAAGUGGUGAGUGAUAGUGAGGAUGACUACGAUGACAUGCCGGCAUUGGAAGAAGCUAGUGAUGGUGAGAAGAUGGAGUAUGAGGUGGAUAUUGGUUACGAUGAGAGCUUUUACUGCUCAAAUCAAAGUAGAUGACUUGGAGUAACAAAGAGAUAACACAUUCCAUAAAAGGUGCCAUAUCAACAACAAGGUAUAUAGCAUGAGUAUUGAUGGAGAUAGUUGUAGCAAUGUGGCUAGCACUACACUUGUUGAGAAAUUAGGGUUAACCAUGUUAAAACAUCCUAAGCCUUACAAACUAUAAUGGUUGAAUGAAUGUAGAGAAGCUAAGGUGAACAGAAGAGUAUUGGUGAGUUUCUCAAUUGGGAGAUAUUAUGAUGAAGUGAUGUUUGAUGUAGUUCCUAUACAUGCCGGGUACAUUACGAAGGAUGGAAAAUCUAUUACUCUUGCACAUUAAUACUAGCACAAGUGUAUGAGAUCAAAUCAAAUUGAAAAGUGAAGAAAAAAAUAUUAAGAGAAAAAUAAAGGAAGAGAGAAGAAUGUGAGGGGGUUAGUAGUGAGAAAAAAAAGAGUAGAACCACAAAGAGAAAAUUAAAAAGUCUUCCAAGAGGAUAGAAAAGUCAAGAGUAAAUUUCUUUCCAAAAGGAAGUGAGCUGAAGAUGGUAGUAGUUGAGAAGCAAUCUAUGAUCUUGUUGGAUUAUAAGGAGUCACUUCUCAAUCUUGAGGAAUCUAACAUACCUCUCCCUAGUUUGGCCACUUUUUUGUUACAGGAAUUUGAAGGUGUAUUUUUCGGAGGACAUGUAUAGUGGGUUACCAUCCAUUUAAGGCAUUGAACAUCAAAUUGAUUUUGUAUAUGGAGCUAUCAUUACAAAUAGACGGGCUUAUCGAAAUAAUCUUGAAGAGACCAAGGAACUUUAAAGGUAAGUGGAGGAAAUGAUGAGUAUGGGGAAGGUAAAGAAGAGAAUGUGUCCAUGUGUCAUGCCAGUGCUACUUAUGCCAAAGAAGAGAUGGAACCUUGAGGAUGUGUGUGGAUUGUCGUGCCAUCAACAAUAUAACAGUAAAGUAUCGUUAUUCUAUUUCUAGGUUAGAUGAUAUGAUAGAUAAAUUACAUGGCUCCUCAUAUUUAAUAAAAUUGUUUCAAAAAUGGUUAUCUCCAAAUUAGGAUGAGGGAAGGAGAUGAAUGAAAAAUUGCUUUUAAAACUAAAUAUGUGUUGUAUGAGUGGUUAGUCAUGUCAUUUGGACUUACUAAUGCACCUAGCACAUUUAUACAAUUAAUGAAUCAUGUUUUACAUGCAUUCAUAGGUAAAUUCGUAGUAGUUUACUUCGAUAACAUCUUGGAAUAUAGUAAAGAUCUAAAUGAACAUAUACGACAUUUAAGAUGUAUGCAUGUGGUCUUAGGACAAGAACAACUUCACGCUAAUAUUAAAAAGUGUACAGUUUGCAUGAAAAAGUUGUUUCUCUUGGAAAUGUUGUUAGUGCAAAGGGGACAGAAGUGGAUGACGAGAAAAUCAAGGCUAUCAAGGAAUGACCAACACCAAAAAGCAUUACUGAGGUAAGAAGUUUUCACGGUUUGGUUAGCUUCUAUAAAUGUUUUGUUAAAGGCUUUAGCACAAAUGCCACACAACUCAUUGAAAUUGUCAAUAAAAGUGUAGGAUUUCAAUGGGGCAUUGAACAAUAACAUGUAUUUAAUACUAUUAAAGAUAGGUUGUGUAAGGCAUCGAUAUUAUCAUUUUCUAACUUAAACAAAACUUUUGAGAUUGAAUGAAAUGCCUGAGGGAUAGGUAUUAGAGCCGUUUAAUGUAGGAUAGAAGCUCAACAGCUUAGAUUAGUGAGAAGUUAAGUUGAGCAACUAUCAAUUAUUCUACAUAUGACAAGAAGUUGUAUUUACUUGUUUGGGCCUUGAAAACAUGGCAGCACUUCCUAUGGCCAAAGGAGUUUAUGAUUCACACCGAUCAUGAGUUCUUAAAGCAUUUGAAGAGUAAAGGUAAGCUAAACAAGAGGCAUGCAAGGUGGGUGAAGUUUAUUGAGAUAUUUCCAUAUGUCAUUCGAUAUAAACAAUGUAAAGAAAAUGUGGUAGGAGAUGCUUUGUCAAGAAGAUAAGUACUUCUAACUUCUUUGGUGUUAAAUUGCUGGGAUUUGAAUAAGUUAAGGACAUGUAUGCUAUUGACCCGAAUUUUUCUAAUAUAUACGAAUUAUGUGAUAACAGUGCUAUAGAUUGAUUCCUUUGGCAUGAUGGAUAUUUAUUUCGGGAAAACAAGUUGUAUGUUCCUAAAUGUUCAAUGAGAGAAUUGUUAGUACGUGAAGCACAUAGUAGAGGUUUAAUAGGUCAUUUUGGGGUUAAUAAGAACUUAUAGAUGCCAGAGGAACAUUUUUAUUGGCUUAAGAUGAAAAUUGAUGUUGAUAGGGUUGGUAGUAGAUGCAUCACUUGUAUAAAGGAUAAUUCUAAAGUUUUACCUCGAGGGUUGUGUACACACUUACCUGUUCUUAGUGAACCUUGGGUUGUUUGUGCCUAUAGACUUUGUAUUGGAUUUACCUAUGACUAAUAAAGGAAGAGAUUCCAUAUUUGUGGUGAUAGAUAGAUUUAGUAAGAUGACACAUUUCAUUCUAUGUCAUAAAACUGAUGAUGCCACCAAUAUUGCGGAUCUAAUCUUUAAAAAAGUAAUGCAAGUCACAUGAGAUUCCUAGGAGCAUUGUAUAUGAUAGGGAUGUUAAAUUUCCUAGUCACUUUUAGAGGAUUUUAUGGAAUAAGUUAGGCACCAAGUCAUUAUUUUCUACUACUUGUCACUCACCAACCGAUAGACAAACUGAAGUUGUUAACAAGACCAUGAUACAAUUGUUAUGUACUAUAGUUAAUAAGAAUUUGAAGAGUUGAGAAGCGUGUUUACUAUUUAUUGAAUUUGCAUUUAAUAGGGCCAUGUAUUCUACUACUUUUUGUUUACCCUUUGAAAUUGUUUAUAGUUUUAAUUCAAUAACACUUUUGGAUUUAAUUCCUUCACUUGUUGAUGAAAGAGGUAGCUUAGACGGAAAAAAGAAGGCCGAUUUGGUGAAAUCACUCCACAAAAAGGUCAGAUUGCAAAUUGAGAAGAAGAACAAGCACUAUGUUUCUCAAGUAAACAAAGAAUGGAAGAGCAUUACAUUUUGAACCCAGUGUUUGCAUUUGGGUACACUUUAGAAAGUAACACUUUCUAAAACAAAGAAAAUCGAAGUUGUAACCAUGGGGAGAUAGUCCAUUUCAAGUCUUUGAAAUGAUCAAUGAUAAUGCCUACAAACUAGAUCUUUCGGUUGAGUAUAAUGUUUUGGCUACUUUUAAUGGUUUUGAUCUUAUUCUCAUUGAUGUAGGACAAGGAGGUGAUGAUAUGAUCCAUGGCACGAACGCAAGUCCAAACAAGGGUCCAUUGAUUAUUGAAGAAGGGCCUCUAAUCAAGUCGUGAGUGAAAAUGGUUAAAGAAGUGAUGGGAUUACUUUCUCAAGCGACGGUAGACGAAACAUUGAUCGUAGUAAACAAAGAAACAAGAUAGUGUUGGACUUGGGAGAAGGAACAUGGAUGGAUCAACUUUGUUCAAGCAAUAGAUAGAUGAGCUGAAAAAGGGCCUAUGCAAAUGCAUAAUGCAAAACCACAUGCGGCCAUAUGUAACCAGGCAAAAAAUCUAGCUGAAGAGUCGUAUAGUUUAAAUUGUACGCAAAUUUUUUCAAAAUUCGUGAAAUCUCCUAAUUUAGUUAAAAAUAAAUAUUUUUGGCAUCUUUUGUAAUCUUUAGAAAUUGAUUUUGUUUUAACAAGGUUUACAAGAAUUCCUUAUAUAUAGAACUCAUUAUUUUCAUUGUAGAACAAUUUUGAUACAAAUUGAGAGACUAUUUUGUAAGGAUAUUUUGCUUUUAACCUUUAUUUUUCAUUGAACUAAUCCUAAACUUGACAAAAUUUAUUUCUUGUGGUGUUCAAAUAAUUCAGGUAAAAUUCUUGAGUCUUAUGAUCACGGGGUCAAUAUAUUGUCGACGAUUGUGUUGGUUCUUUGGUUCAAUAUUUUUGGAUCAAACUCUAAACAUUGAUUAUUGGCUUUUUUGGGUUUGAAUCAAUCUUGUGUGGGUUUCGUAGCUACUAUUGCUACAUGGGUUUGCAUCACAAACCGUGUUCGCAAGAAUAAAAGUGGGAAAGCUACCAUACUCAUAAUAUUGUAUGUGGAUGACAUAUUAUUAAUGAGUACCGACAAUGUUAUGCUUCAUUCGGUGAAAUUAUGGUAGUCAAAGAAUUUAUUCAUGAAAAAUAUGGGAGACUAUAGAGAUAGACCUAGAAUGUUGCUUGUCUCAUCCUAAUCUACAUAGAAAAAAAUCUUAAGAAGAUUUUAUAUAGAGAAAAUGAAUGAGAGUUUAUGGACAUAAUGAUGCUAACUUUCAAUCAGAUUAGGAUAAUAGUAGGAUAUGUGUUUACUUUUAAUAAUAGAGCAUUUAGUUGGAAAGAUUCUAAAUAGAAAAUAAUUGUUGAUUUAAUAAUAGAAGCAUAAUAUAUCACUGCUUCAGAAGUGACAAAUGAUUGUGGUCUAGAUCAAGAAAUUUAUUAAUGAACUUAGAGUAGUUUCUAAUAUUGUUGAUCCUCUACGUAUGUAUUGUGAUAACAAUGGAGUCAUUGCGUAAGCAAAGGAAGUAAAAUCUCGUUAAUGAUCCAAACAUGUGUUAAGGCAAUAUUAUAUCUUAUUAGAGAAAUCAUAUGAAAAAAUGACAUAAAGAAAUGUUGAGUUCUCAGAAGUGAUAAAAUUCCAUUAAUAAAGAGUUGUCGCAGUAUAAACAUGAUUGUUAUGUAGACUCUUAUAGUAUUAGAUACAUUAAGCGACUAGAUCCAGUGCAAGUGAGAGUUUGUAAGUUUUAUGCACUAGGGUCCAAUCGAUUUUGAACAUAAACACUUUCAAUAUGAUUAAUACAUAAUUAUUUAUGUUGAACAUAUUAUUUAAUUAAAUUAUUAUUUUUACAAUUUAAAUUAAAAGAGUCAAUAGAUUCAAUUCUAAGUAACUUGUUAAUCACAAGGAGUUUUGAUUGUGAAGAACAAAUUACGUAUGACCUAAUUUUAAAUUAUCCUUGAUCGUAAGUAAUAAAGAGAUAUAGAUGUCGUUAUUAUGGAUAAACACAUGUCGCAUUUCUGAUUUAUGAAAUGAGUAGCUGACCUCACAAGUUAAGAUGUAGUGAUAUUUAAAUGAAUGUAUGGAUGUUUUAUUAAUAGAAUAAAAUAUUGAAGGCUCAUUGGAGAUAAUCUACUUGGAUAACUAUUUGAGCAUUAAUGAUUAAUCUUUAAUAUUUGGUAGUGAAAUUAAUCUUUCGACUUUGAGAUUAUCAUAGUGCUUUAUAUGAGGACAUUUAUACUUAAGUGAUAUUGGAUGUUGCUUCGACAAUAAUCACUAAUAUGAUGUCGUUUGGAUAUGUUAAUAAUCAUAUGAAGUUUAUGAAUGAUCAAUAGAUGAUAUAGUAAGAGUUUAUAAUUUACAUUUCAUUUGGUUAAAUUGAAUAAAGAAAUCCUCGGCCAAGAUGAGUUCAUAAGUCCCAAAGAAUUUCGAUGUUGAUCGACUUAAGAGUGAGAUAAAAAUAUGAUUGAUAUAGAGAUUAACACAAAUCCAUAUAUCAUAAUUGAUAUGAUCACACUAAUGAAAGGAUUCUAGUUUCACAAUAAACUAAUAAGUUUGAUUUUGUCAUACCACAUGAUAUUUCUUGUUACAUAUAUUGUCCUAACACAUUGCUAAUGGAUGUAAAUUAAUUAAUCUAGAUGUAUUAAUAAUAAUUUGAAAGAAAGUUUAUUUUAAUUAGAUCAAAAUAAUAAUUCACGUCGUCCGACAUCAUGAUUAAAAACUAAUGGGUCACACACAAAUUAAAACUGGAGAAAGGAUGUUAUGAAUUAAUUAAUUGACACCUGUGGACAUUUGUAGAAUUAAUUAAUUAGAUUGUUUAUUGGGCUUAAGUUAAUUGAUUGGAUUAAUUACCUUAUGGACCAAGUUUAAUUAAUUGGGUUAAUUAAAUAUUGGGUCUAAUUAUCUUUACUGGGUAGGUCAAUCUCACUUAAAACAUCUAUAAAUAAACAAUUAGGGUUUGAGUUGUCACAAAAGCAAUUGAGAUUGCAAUUACAAUAUAACACAUUUCACAAUAUUAUAAUUUUAAUAGCCCAGGAAAGAAAAACCUCAAUCUCUUAUUCUUAUUCUCAUGUGUCAUAUACAUCUCAAAAGGACAUAUUAACACCACUCCUCGUUUUGAUAUCCCCAUUCCACCACUGAUGUUCCAUCAUCCUCUAUAUCAGCUCCAUCGUCUUUGUUGUUCUAUUCAUGCAUCUGCCUCUAUUCCUAUUGACCCUCUAUAGCACUCAUGGGAUAGAUGACUUGUUGAUUCAACAUCAAGCUUGCAUGAUGGUUGAGAUCAUACAGUUGUGAGUCACUACUAAGUGUCAUACAACGGAGUUUACUACACUCCAUGGAGCGAUAACGUGUGCUUAGCGUGGGAUUUGAUCAAUUCGUGAGCAUUAGAAUGAUGAUGCCGAUGGUUUUAGUGAGGCCGCUGAUGGAAUCGCCAUGCAAUAACUCAUAUAGAAACUUGCGUUGUUCAUGGGCCUACUAAUAUUAUAAAUGUUCACGUAGAACUCCUAGACAAGGAGACUAGGUGAGAAGACAAUUAAAGAAGUAAAGUCUCCUACCCUCACGAAGUGAAGAUGGAGCAAGAUCAGGGGAUAGAAAAGAAUUACCUUACGCUUCACUAGAAUAGGGCGUAAGGAAAACUGAGUCCCAAAGAUAUCUUUGGCAGUAGUUGAGAUGAAUCUGGACCUACUAUAUGAAGCCAACAUAUCGGAUGCCUGUGUAGUAGUCCUCACUUUUUGAGCUCCAUCUAUGACAAGGUUAUAAUAGAAUGACAUUAAUAGAUGCAACUAAAGGACUAUGUACCUCUUUGAACAAUGAACUAAUGAUAUGAAUGGAUGCACGUGAAAUGAGACAAAUAAGUCAUAUAUAUGCUAAAUGGUGCAUAUAUACUCCACAAACACCAAAAACUAUCAUAAGAGCGCACAACUAUGUAAAAUUGUGUAAAGCAUGCAAAACAGUGCGGAAAUGACCAAUUCAAGCAGCAUAAUACGAAAAUUGACCGGUGCACCAAAGAAAAUGCAAAACCUAACAAUGCAAGACAUAACCAAUGUACACAAAGCAAUGCAAGAAUCAAAGGGAAAACACUUGUAAACACAAGGGACCAAAAAAGAGACGUUACGCAUGGCUGAAGGUUGUACAAUGCAAGGAUUGAGGUACAAUGGUGACAUGACAUAGGUGUGGAGUGGUGCUUAGAUGUAGGGAGACAUGAAAUCUAAACGAUAGAUGCAGUAUAGAUGUAUGCAUUGAUGCCCGAAACACAAAAAAAAUAAAAUAAAAUAAAAUAAAACAACAAAAACAAAAAAACAAAAGCAAAAACAAAAACAAAAACCCUAAAAAAUCAAAUAAGGUGAAACUUAGGGUUUAAUGAAUUUCGUACCUUUAAUGCAAAGAAAUAGGAAAAUUGAUGAUGUUAUGAUCCUCUAAGGAGGAAGAAAUCACGUAAUAUAAGGUUCAAGUACUUGGGUGAGGCAAAAAUGUUUUGAAGAUUGAGAGAGAUUGGAAAAAAAAUGAGUUUUGUGCCUUGCGAAGGAAUUCAAAUACAGGCUUUGUCGCUCGAGUGAGAGGAGAGUGCUGGGCUAGUGAUAGAGCCUCUACUUUUAAUGCUUGAGCGAGCUUCAGCGCCAACUGGGCAAAAAUCAUUUUCACAAAAAUAGCACCAAGUACUUGAAAACUUCGAAAUAUAGAAGUUUUUUAAUUCAUGGCACACACUCCAAUAUGCAUGGUAACUUAAAAAUGAAAAUGAUUGCAAGUAAGACAUAAUCAAUGAACAGAAAAACUUUCCCACAUACACGAUCAGGGUUAAAUUUAGUAAACUGUAUACAUGACCCAUGUGUAAAAAGUGUCACUAAUUCCUUAUUAGUACGACUCUAAACUUUAGAUUUGUGAGAAGGGAUAUACUAAUCAUUACCGUAGGCUAAGUAUUUUCAUCUGGUAAUGAAAAGAAAAUCUAGCACUACUAGGAACUUUUAAGUAAAAGCCCAAAUUUAUUCUUGCAGUGUAUGCAUUUUAUUUAUCCCUCUAUCAAUAAGCAUUAAUCAUUUUUUUAAUUGUUUAUUUUAUUUUUAUCAGUAAGCAAAAUCUUAUGUGUAAUCUCAUCUUCAUUAACCAACCGAGAUGAGCCCUCCAACGAGCUUUGGACCGAUUACUCCAACUUAAUUAACAAUAAGGCAUCAGGUUAUGAGAACCCCUCAAGCUUAAUUGCUCGAGUCAAAUGGGUUCUGAAGACAAGUAUAAGAUAAAGUUCACUUUGUACUAUAUGGCAAAUUUCUAGUAAGGGUAAUAUACUAGAGUCUUAGGUCAAACUAGUUACAGAUCAAUUCAUGUUCAACACCACCGCACCCACAGAUGACUAGCAUCCCAAAUCUCAUACAUGAAGAUUCACUUACAAAAUUAAAACCAAUAUAAAAACAACCUUCUUAAGUGCUCUUUCUAUCAUCGACAAUUCCAGCCCAAUUGACAUUAGAAUAACUAGCAAGAUCAAGAUUAGUGUAUCUAGAGUACAAGAUUUCAUGAUCUAAGGUGCCAUUUACAUAACAAAUGAUGUGCCUGGCUACACUCUGCUAGGAUUCCUUAGGAUCAGCCUGAUAUCUCACUUAUAGCCCAUCAAAAAAUCAAUGUCAGGUAUACUGGUAGUAAAAUAGAAUAAACUACCAAUCAUAUUCCUAUCUAGUGUUUGAUCAACACCUUCAACCUGAGUAUAUCCUUGGGUAAACUAGCCUUAUCCCUAGUUAUGGUGCCUUCAUUAUCGGUCUUAUUUCUAAAUAUCUACUUAGUACCUGUAACAUUACAAUUGUCAAGCCUAGGUACCAAAUGCCACACAUUGUUUCUCAUGAAUUAAUUCAGUUCCUCAUGUAUUACAUUUACCCAACAUUCAUCACUAAGGGCAUCUUCUACUUUCUUAGGCUCAAUCUGGGAUACAUAGCUUGCAAAUGUCAUGUUAUUCAUAACCUUCUUACGAAGUCUCAUCCCUUUAUCUAAAUCUCCAAUAAUAUUGACCUUAGGAUGAUUAGAAUUAACUCUAGAUGAAGUUUCUCUAGAAGGUUUGGAUUUGUCACUAGGAGAUUGCUCUUCAUCGAGAGUUUCUAGACCUUUAAGUGAGUGUUGGGGUUUGGGAAUUGAUUUUUCUUUUAGUUCAGUUAUCAUGAUUGGAUCUACACGAGUGAUCUAACUCAUACCAAUCUACUACAAUCUCUCCCUCACUAAAAGUAUCAUCUAUCACAACAUUUAAGGACUCUAUCACAACUCGGGUAAGAGAAUUGUAUACACGAUAGGCUCUACUAAUCCUAGAGUAUCCAAGAUAGAUUUUCUCAUCACUUUUAGAGUCAAACUUGCCCAAGUUCUCUCCAUCUCACAGAAUAUAGCACACACUUCCAAACACAUAAAAGUAUUUAAUAGUAGACUUUUUACCUUUCCAAAUCUCAUAUGUUGUCUAAUUAGUUUUAGUUCUAAUAUCUUCCUUGUUCACUAUGUGACACGUAGUGUUAAUGGCUUCAACUAGAAAUGCAUUACUAGUCCCUUGCCAUGAAAUAUGGCCUUAGCCAUUUCUUGAGGCACAUAUAACUACUCCAUUUUGUUGUGGAGUGAUGGGUGAGAAUAACUCAUGCUAGAUUCUCUCUUCUAAAUUGAAGUUCUCAAGGUCAGAGUUUCGAACUCUUUCCCACGAUCACUUUGAAUUCUAAUUAAGUUGAAAUUUUUCUCAUUAAUAAGCCUCUUGGACAAGGAUUUAAUGAGGUCAAAUAACUUAGAUUUUUCUUUUAACAACUCAAUCCAUGUGUACCUAGAGAAAAUCAUCUACCACAACCAAAAUAUAAUGUUUACCUCUUAGGUUCUCAAUCAUAGAUGGUCCCCUCCAUAUAGAGUAUUCUAAAGGCCAAUUUGUCAAGAUGUUAGAAGUUUGUUUGUGAUUUACUCUAAAUUGUUUACCUUGUUCACAUAGUCCACAUAUAGUGUUUUCAAUUUGUCCAAGUUUAGGUAGAUCAUCAAUAAGUUCUUCUUAGCCAACUAUGAAAAACUCUUUAUUGUUCAUAUGAAUGAGUUUUUGAUGCUAAAGCUUAGUCAUUUCAAUCUUAGCGCUGCUACACGCGUAGUUCAAAUUUGGAAUAACUUCAUAAUAGUUUUCAGAAGUUUUUACCCUUUCGAGGAUGCACAUAUUCCUCCGGGGGGACGAUUGGGAUGAGGGCAUAAGGGUCUUUUGGUAUAUGAAGAUAUUUAUACUUUUUUUCAUAUACGGAAAUAUGAGAUUCAAUGUUGUCGGUAGGAUCAUAGAUAGUAUUCUUUUUUUUGGAUAAAACUAACCUUAGAAUCAUUAUCACACAUAUGACAAUGCUUAACAAGUUAGACUUAAACCCUUCACUUAAAGUACAUUUGAUACAAUGGGUAGUCCAGAUAUAUUGAUGGUACCUUUACCAAGGAUAUGCAUUAUAGACUCGUUUCAAAAGAUAACCAGACCACUAUUCCAAUCAUCAAGAGUAGAAAAUAGGGCUUUAUUUCCACACAUAUGUCUAGAACAUCCACAAUCAAGAUAUCACAUGGAGUUAUUUUGAGCUUUAAGUGCGACAUGGACAACAUAGGGAGAUCACUUUUCUUAUCCCAAGCCUUCUAAGAUGUGGAGGUAAUCCUAGUCAAUUCCUUAAUCAUCUCAGUUAGGUAAUAACCUGAUGGGUAAGAAAGUUAACUUGGCUAGAAAUAUCCUGACUUCUCCUUCUAUUAACAAGUUUAUGACACCUAGCCUUGUGUGUCCUAGAACGAAACAAUUGUCACAGAUAGGAAUAAAUAUAAGUUCAAAGUUACGUGAUUGCUAAUAUUGGUUUCUAGGUAGGUUGUUCCUACGUGAUCUAGUAGGCCUCUGUCCUAAGACUCCAUUUUGCUUGGGUUCAGGAUUAGCAACAUUUCUAGGUUUGUUGGUAGCUAGGAUAAAUGUGGCCUGGGAUGUAAUAGCAGUGUUCUUAUCAAUUUGAAUAUAUCCUAGACCUUGCCUGUUUCCAGAUGUCUUAUUCAUUCCUAAUAGAUUAUCAAGUUUCUGAGUACCACUUAUGAAUGAAUGGAGUUGUGUAAUGGAUUUUUUUAGAUCGCUUGUUAAUGUUUUAGCCUUAGUUUCUAAUUUAUCAUUGACAAGUGACAAUUCACUAAGAUAUUUAGAAGAGUCCUAAAGAUUAUCUAUGAGUCUUUCUUUCUCUCUCUCAAGUACAUUAACCUUUCUCAACACAGCUUUAUUAACCUUUUUAAUCUUAAUAUUCUCCUUGAACAACUGUUGACAAGCCUUAUGAAUAUCUAUCUCAUCCUCAAAGUCUUCCUCAUUGUACUCAGUACGCUCUUGUUGCUCAACCUUUUCACUCUCCUUAUUUGAUCAACUCUUGGCUAUAGACACAAAUGUCGUAUAGUUCCUUUCAUUCUCACGACUAGAGAAAUCAAUCUAAUCACUAGAAUUAUUUUCAUCAUCAGUUAGUGACACUACCAACGCCUUACCAUUUCCUUUAUUCAGGUUCUUCUUAUAGUUGGGAUAUUCAUCCUUAUAGUGAUAAAAAUCCUGACACUCAUGACAUCUGACCGAUUGAGAUUUUUUAAUAAAACUUUGUUUCUUUGAAAUUUACUAGGAUUACCAUUCUUCCUCUCUUGAGGUUCUCUUAUUCCUAAGGACUUUCAGAAAUUGCUUCACAAAAUAAGGUACCUCAUCAUCCUUAUGGGUCUCUGUAUCAGCUGAUUCAUACUCUUCUUUUUCACUGCUAUUCAAGGCUAUAAGAAUUAUUUUUCUUCAAAUGAGAUAUAAUGAGUUCAUAGGUUUGAACGGAUCCUACAAGUUCCUCUAUCUUGAUUUUAUCUAUGUCCUUACUCUUCUUAAUUACAGUAAUCUUGGGUCUUGGUUACGCCCAAAGUAUAACGCGGUGAUUGUAGUACAGCUUUGGGGUGUCGUAUCCACAGGGAGAUGGAAAUUUUCUCAAAAAAUCAAACAAACUAGGGUUUUCGUAAUUUUAUGUGGGAAUGAUUUGUCACUUGGAAUAAAAAUUAAUUAUCAAUAUGCGACAUAAGUGAAGCGUCGGAAUUCCCCCAAUUGGAUUGGAUCAAUCGUCAUCAAUAAUUUAUGUAUUUUUCCUCAAUUAGAGAUUUUCUUCCCAACUCUCUAAUCGGAAUAUUUAACAAUAAAGUCCAAUUUAAUUCCAAUUAUAUUGCUAGAAUCUAGAUUUUCUAUAACACAUUCGCACAUUUUUUUAUUGGAACAAGAUCAAAGAUCGACCAUAUACAUCAAGCAUAAGGUAGUAAUCAAUUCGCCAAUAAAGUAACAUUAAGAUUAAAAUUCAACAAUUAUUUCAAUCAUUUGAUAGAAGGAACAUGGCUAGAUCUAUGAAGGAUUUGAUAAAAGUUAAAAUAAUCUCAACAAUAAAUAAUUCAAAUUGUAAUUCAACAAGUAUUUCGAAUAUUCGAUAGAGAAAGCAUGACUGAAUCUAUGGAAAUUCUAAUAAUUGUUAAACUAAUGUCAAAAACAUAUUCAAGAUAUGGAAAUUCGAUUCUAAAAUUGUUUAAUAAUGAAAAACUCAAUUACAUGAAUUAAAGAUGUCGAAAUCACUAAAACUGAUUGGGGUCCUUCAUUGCUUCACCAAGUUCCUUAGUUUUCCCUGGAGUUUCUUGAGCACCAAGAUGAAAGAAAUAGGUCUGGGGGCGUCUGCCUUCGUUCUGGGUGGUUUUGGGCAUUUAUAUCCCGUGAAAAUUAGGUUACCAUAAGAGAUUCAGUCGUAUGAAGAAACUGAGAUUCGGCCCCCCAAAAAACACUCUGUGAACGCAUGGUUAUUGUCAUUGCGGUCGCAUGGUUAUGCACUUUCAGCCUCUUCAAUUCUCGGUAUAGGUGUGUGUGACCGCAUAGUAGAAAGGCAUGCGACCGCAUGUUCCGCCAGACAGCUUUUAGUGUUUUAAUCAUAACUUUCUUUCCCGAUGUCCAAUUGAGAUGAUUCAAGUUGCAUUGGAUAGCUAACUCAAAGGGACACAAUUUCUAUUCAGAAGCCAUCUCCCAAUUCGAUCAUCUUCCAUGUCAAAAAUGGGUCCCAACAUGAGACUAAAAACUGGUGUGUUAGUUUUCGAUUGGAAAUUGAUGUAUUGAUCAAACUUUGACGUUAUUUCAUCCCUUUGACUUCUUUCCUCAUCUACUUGACCUCUAACACUUUCAAAUCUUCAUCAUAAUCUUAGACACAAGUUUGGAUCAUUUGCACUUUAGUCUCCGAACUUUCGUUCUCUUCUACUUUGGUCAUUUUUCACUUGUUUCUUCCGAAUUUCAUCUUUUUCACCAAAAUGCAACCUAAACCAAAAUAUAAGAGUAAUGAGUGCAUUUUGGCAUAAUAUAAUCACAUGAAUGCAAUAGUUAAGAGGGGAAAAUAUGGUAUUUUACACUCUUAUCAGGUCUAAAUCUUUCAGAUAAAGAUCUGAGGAUUUUUCGUACAAUUUUUGACUCAGGAAUUCUCUCAGCUAGGUUGAAUGUAGAGUUCACUAGUCAUUUAACUUCACAUAGAAUUCAUCGAACAAUUCAUCAUCCUUCAUUCUGAUUUCUUCAAACUUAGAGGUCAAUAUCUGUAGUUUAGAGUUUUUACAAUUUAGGUUCCCUCGUGUGUGAUCUCUAAAAUAUCCCAAACUUCUUUUGCAAUUUAAUAUAUCAACACUUUCCUAAACUCUUGAGCAGACAUAGCUAUAAAAGAGUAUGAAGCCCUUUACUACUCCAGUUGCACUUAGUUACUACUCCAUGUUGUUAUGUUCGUUGUCACCAUUAUAUGUGACUUUUAGAGAUACUAUUGUCUAUAGUUGGGAUAUUCUCACGGUGGAGGAGGUCUAUGAUGCCAUACUAUCUAAGGAGAAGAUGAGGCAUUUUGUUGAAGGAUCUGAGAGUUAGGCUGAGGGCUUGCUUGUUCGUGGGAGAAGUUGAGAUAGGAAGCUUGGCAAAAAUAUGAGGGACAGGUCUAAGUCUAGGUAUGUUGAGAAGACAUGUCAUUAUUACAAGAAGAAGAGGCAUAUCAGAGCUGACUGCUAUGCCUUGAAAAAUAGAAACAAAGCUGGGAUGCCAAUGAUAAAGGAAAACGCCUUGUUGUUUCAGCGGAGGCUGACAUUGUGGAAAAUGAGAAAGCGAAUGAGAGCUUCUUAUGAUCUUUGAUAUGGGGUCCAAACUUUGUGAGGAAUGGGUUUUGAAUUUGACAUGGGUAAGCUUGGGUGCUCUUGUUGUCAUGAAGGGAUAUAAGAAUUUUACAUAGCUAUAUGUUUCGCAAGUUUUUACUACUACAGGAGAUUCAGCAAUUUCUACUUUUUCUUUGAUUGAGGAUGAAGUCACAAAACUUUGGCAUAUAUGGCUUGGGCAUAUGAAUGAAAAAGAAUGGCAGAUUUAAGUAAAAGGGGGCUUCUUGAUGGGUAGAAGAUCAGUAAGAUGAAAUUUUGUGAGCAUUGUGUUUUUGGAAAACAGAAAAUGGUCAGAUUCUCAAAGGGAAGACAUGACAUGAAGGGAACACUUGUAUAUCCAUUCAAAUCUUUGGGGCCGACUAGAGUACCUUCAAGGAGAGGUGCAUAUUACUUGAUGACAAUAAUUGAUGAUUACUCCAAAAAGUUUGGGUAUUCUUCUUGAAUCGAAGAAUGAUGUGUUUGAGACUUUCAAAGAGUGGAAAACAUUGGUAGAAAAGCAGACUAGAAGUAGGUAAAACGUCUACUCAUUGAUAAUGUGUUGAAUUUUGUUAAGAUGAAUUCAAUAGCUUCUACAGGGCUGAAGGUAUCUUGAGACACUUGACAGUGUCCAGAACUCCUCAAUAGGAUGGCAUGGCUGAACGGAUGAAUAGAACAUGAUGGAAAAGGUUCGUUGUAUACUUUCAAAUUCUGGGAUGCCUAAGUCAUUUUAGGCUGAAGUUGCUACUACAGCAUGUUUUUUGAUCAAUCGCUCACCCUGAACAUUCAUUGGAAAUAAAACACCAAAAAAUAUAUGAUGUGGUAAACACUCUUGUUAAACUGAUUUGAAGAUCUUUGGUUGUCCUGUGUAUGCUCAUGUGAAUAAUGGAAAAUUGGAACCUAGGUCUAGAAAUGCAUUUUUCUUAGGUCUAAAUCAGGAGCGAAGGGUUAUAAGUUGUGGUGUCCAGAAGAGAAGAAAGUGGUGAAUAGUAUAGGAUGUAGUAUUUGACGAACUUGCUAUGAUUCAUGAAAGACCUCUUGAUGACGAAACCACUUCCCAUUGCUAAGUUUGAGCAUUACUUGAAUUUAUAGGUGUUUGUCAUUGAUUUAGUCCAUUGGGGCUUGCUUGAAAGAGGUGGAGUGGUGUUUACUUGGAGAUACAUAUUUUUGGAAUUUCUUGUGCUGGAAUUUGGUUUAAGGUGGAGAUUUGUUGUAGUGUGAUCCAAAGUCUUGGGGUUUUCGGAGUAGUAUUGAGUUGAUCUUAAAGAGAUCAAAAAUAGGGAGUGGGAGAAAAAUUCGCCGCAAUUUCGAUAACUUUUCACUAGUGGGAUGUUCAAGCAUUUGGAGUAGAAUAAUCAUCGUUCGCUUCUCGUUGGCUUGCAGCUCAAGUGACAGUAACGUUGCUCAUUGUCGCUUGAGUGAUAACAUUAUCUGAGCCAUUCCGAAUUUUACGUUUUAACACGAUUUGGACUUCUAUUCAUCUACAACUUGGUCUCUUGAGUUCCCUGUAUAUACAACUCAUCGUGUAUUGUUGCCAUAACUUUUAGAAAAUGUGAGAAAACAAAUCUGCACCAUCUUGAGAGCUUAGAUUCAAUUAAGAGUAUUAAGUCUUGAUAUUGUAAACACAUUCCUAUUGAUUACCGCAAAUUUUCUCCUCCUUUGCCUAUGGUUUUCCUGAAUUGGGUUUCCAUGUAAAUCUCUAUUUUAUUUACUUUUCGAUCUUAUUUCAUUAUUAUCAUAUCUUCAGAGCCGUAUUCAUAACAAGAACAUAUAAAUUAUUUGAGAGAAUGAAUGAGUAGAGUGCUCUGUGGCGAUAUAGAGGACCAUGGAAAAAGUUAGUUGUAAUACAUGAGGUGGAUACCGAUACCCAUCUAACAGUAAAAAUUAAUUCAUAGAAAAAGAAGGUGAAUGGGUUGUCUACAACUUAAUAAGUCAAUAUGGUGCAAGCUCCUCUUCUAGAAUGUGAUGCUUUUGCGAAAUCGACUAAGAAAGCACUUUAAGCUCAAAACUUCUAGUGCCGGCAGGACAAUCCUUAUUCUUAGACCUAUAAUUAAGGCUGAAGGAACCCUUCGAACAUCUCUUACAGUGAUACGCAGAAUACCAAAUGUAGGUAAAGCAAGAGAGAAGAAAGCAGGAUGGGAGGAAGAUAUAACUCAAUUUGCAAACAAAGGUCGAAGUAGUAUGGCUUUUAGUUGGCUUCAUCAAAUCACACUCCAAGAGCUUGGUUCAGUAGGCUGAACUCCUUAUGAAGAGUUUGUUUUUAAAGUGGCUUUAGCAAAUCACACUUUGUUCCAUAAAAGAGUUCGUGCUGAUUUUAGGAUACUUAUAUUGUAUGUCAAUGACAUGAUCAUGACAGGUAGUAACUUUACCGGGAUAGAGAAACGAUUUAGUUAUCUAGUUAAGAAAUUUGAAAUGAAGGAUUUGGGGUUUCUAAAUUUCUUCUUGGGAAUUAAAGUAUCAUUGUCCAAACAAGGGCUCUUUUUCUUACAACGAAAUUAUAUACUAUUUCUUGGCGGAUACUGAUAACUUUGGAUGUGAUUCUGUAGACACUCCAAUUGAGGUAAAUCAUGGUCUAUCUACCUAUUCGAUCAAAGACUACAUACAGAGUUCAAUAAUUGUUGCAUCGAUUGGUGUAUUGGCUACAUAUUUGAUAUGUUUCCAAGUCACUCGCCUGAAAGCUGGUUAACAGAUUCCUCCAGCCUGCUUCUUAAGCAUCUCACAUCAGUUUCCAAAUUUUCAAUGCACUAAAUUCUUUUAAGGCAUGGGAUCACAUCAUGCAAAACUCACCAUAUGAUGAUGUAUAUUUUAUUAGGAAUUUUGAGUUACUACAGGUUUCACUAACUUGACACGAAAAAUCGUCUAGGCCAAGCAUCAUUUAUUCGGUGAUUCCAUAGCAACUGAUGACCAUUUUCAAAGCGUAUAAACAUUGCUGUCAAAGUGUCCAAUGAGUCUGACUUUUUAAUAUUUUGAAUAACAUCUCAAUCCAUAGGAAGGAACAAGAUUUUAGUUUGCUAGUUAUUCCACAUCUCAUGCUCAAUAAGAUCGCUAACCCUUUCAUUAUUCUAGUUUGAUAUGCUGAUGGGUUAAAGAUGGUAGUGGAUGAAUCCAAUAGUCUUAGAAAAUCUUACUGGAAUCUUCGUUCACUACUAGCCACGUCAGACCUUUUUAUAAAAGUUUAUGCUCCCAUAAGAAGCUUUUCCAUGAGCAAGCUGACCAUUCGUAUCCGUGGAAGAUAAAAAAUCACUGGGCCAGAAGUAUUUUCCUUCUAAAAAAUUAAGCAAUAUGUACAUUCUCCUUGACAUUGUUGUUUUACAUUCCCCCUAUGCGUCAAAAUCUGGCCAAUGAUGUGAUAAGAUGUUGUAGAAAUCAAUGGCUAUGAUGGAUGUCAUGUGGAAGAGUGUCAAACUUAAAGUAAAGGAGAAUGUACAUAUAGCAUGAUUGUUUAAAAUUUAGGCAGCUAGUGAAUUGUAGUCGGUGGUCAAACACCAACUUAUUUUGCCACAAGUGCCUGGUUAAAAAUACCAGAACCCUGAUAUCCCAACCUUCCCAAUCCUUUCAUAAGAUAGGUUAGAAUGGCUUUUAAAAUAGCCUUGAAUAGUACUUGAUGAUCCCCAACUGAGAAAAAAUCUCAACAUCACCCUAAGUUGGUUUCUAAGCUUUCUCCUUUAUUACUACAAAUGUCCUCCACCGGUUUGUUCCAACCAUAGUGGGAAAUCCCAAAUAUGUAUCAUGAGGAUUAUCAUGCUGUAUUCCAAGUUUAUCUACUUACCAAAAGCCUUUAUGUAUAUAUUCAGCAAUUCAAAAUGACCUGAAAAUCAUGAUCCAAAGCCUUGGAAAACACACUUGAUUCAUUGGAAAAUAAUAGGGGAUUAUCUCGUGGUCCUGCUCAAGAGCAUUACAUGGCUGCCAAAUGUCCCGUGUUCUUAGCUGAUUGAAUGAAAGUGGAAAAAGCUUCAACACACAACAAGUAUAAAUCAGGAGAUAGAUUAAGCUUUUGUGUAAGCCUCGAGAUUAUUGACCUCGAAAAUAUUAUUAAAAAAUUCCUCUAACAUAGUCAAGAUUUUCCCAUCCUAACCUCACCAAUUUUAUACUCAAGCAUGAACAAGAAGAGAAAUGACUAUUUGGAAUAAGGAUAUUCAAAUUUGAUGAUUCUCUUUUGCUCCCAUGUAUUAGUGAUUAUUGAUUUCUAAUGAGGCCAUGAGAGCAAAUGGGUCGUUUCUAUUAAUGACACUUGAUAACCAUUGAUUAGUGAACCUUCCGAAUCUAUUAGUUUUCACAUUUUACUCACCGGUCCACGUAUUCUUCAUUCAUUGAUUAUGAAGUCAUGCUUUACAUUUUAAUUUACGUGUGCUUUAGUAACAAUUUUGCAUGGUGUAGAAUAUCUAGUGAAAGUACUAAAGUACAUUGGCUUCUUGUUUCUGCUCUAGGUUGAUGAUAAGGCUUCGUGCUAUUAAUACUUGCUAACCAUAUAUUGAGAGUUUACAUGUGGUUUGGUGACCUUAAAAAUGUUUGUUGGUAGAGGCAUAGGCUCGUUAUUAAUCCAUUAUAAAUAUUUAUUGAUAGCAAAUAGUCCCAAAGUUUGAGUCUUAUCAUUUAUGUUAGAUUUCGGACUUAGUUUAGGUUCUUCAAUAAGCGAACAUAUAUAUAUAUAUUUUUAUCUAAAUUUUUUAACCCUUCGCUUGGUUUACUAGUGAAAAUUUUUGUUUAAUGAACCCAUGGCUUGGUUUACUAGUGAAAUGAUUCUUCGCAAAAAUGAGAUUGGAUAAUUAAUAAAUAGUCCCUUGAGUUCGAGCUUAACUAUUUAUAUGACGAACUUGUGGAUUUGAGAUAAGGAGUAAAUACUACUUUUCUAAGGUUAAUAUGUGCAUUAAUGAUAAUUGAUGACGCAUGAUCAGAUGAAAAGACUCCUUUAUAAUUGCAUCCUUCAUACAUUUUCCAAUGUGGAUGUAUUUCUUUGUGCGCUGUAAACAUUGAGUGUUAGGGCUUUAUUUAUGGAUGAUGAUACUCUAGCCCAUAGACGAAUCUUAUGCUCAACCUAAAUAAUGAAAGCCCAAUACUAAUCCAAUAUGUCUUGAAUAAAUAUUUCUAAGACCAAAUUUGCUUACACAUUAUUUUUAUAGGGGCCAUAUUGAAAAAGAAAAAUGAACAAUAGAAUAGGAUUUGUAAGUUUCUAUUUGGGGACCUAUAUUAUUAUUUCCUUAUUUUGCUAAGUAAUUAAAUUAUAUAGACCUAGAAUAAAAUUUUUUUAAUGACCCACUUCAUUUUUCCACAAAUUCAAAAAUAUAUGUAUAUAUUUAUAUAGUCAAAUUGUACAAAACAAUUUAAAAUGUUAAAGUUUAUAAAAGAACAUAAAACAUUCUUCAUUAAUUAGUGAAUAACUAAUACAUUUGACCCCCAAAUAUACACACGUUAUAGCAUAAAACAAAAGUAUGCCAUAUAUAUAUAGUUCUGGUAUUUCAAAGUCUAUUAAAUGACCAACAAAUUUAGCAUUUACAUGACUUUUAUCUGCUCUAGUAUCUAUGAGGACAAGAAGAUUCUUCUUGUAUCCUUCUUGAUUCAUAUAUCUUGUGGACCACCGCCACUACAGUCGUCUCCAGAGGAAGAGCCUCCAGCACUUCUUUCACUGACUCCUCCGAAUUGGUGCCCAAAAAGUCCACCUCCUUCGAGGGACGUGCUCUUUUCCUGCACUUGAAAUUUGGACAUCUUAAUUUUGGAGGCUUGAAGUUGUUGAGUAAGAAAAAGAUGGUAAAAGUUUUGCCUCCAAUAAAUCAUACAGAUCAAUAUACAGGGCUGAAAAUUUCAUAAUUGGGCUUAAUAUUCACUCACAUUUACCUUCAAAUGAAAUACAUGAAUUAAAAAAAAAAAAAGGCCACUUUUAAUUGACCUUUAUUAGACAUGAAUACUAAUGGUUCCUACACAUGCUUAAGCCCCCCCGCCCCCCCAUUUUCCCUAUUAAACAUUUCCUUUAAUCUUAAUCAGUUGUGAAUAAUCUACCAAAAUUUCUUCACUAUAGGACUAACGUUUCAUUUCCCAACUAAUUCAUAUUUCCUUCUACUAUAUAUAUUUAUGUAUAACUUACACAUAUAAAGGUUCACACUUUGAAACAGGGAAAAAAAAUUCAAAAGAAAUAAAAACAUAAGAGAGAAGCAGAUUUUGUAAUGUUUCGAAUGCCAUCUGGAGACAACAUCCAUCGUCCAACUUUAUACAUUCAAAAGCUUUCAAAUUAAGGUAGGUAGAGGUGUAAGUGGUUAUUUUGUUUUCAAAUUAUGAUUUUUCAUUAAAAGUUUGAAUGAAUUAGUACUAUUAGGUACGGUGCUUUAGCACUAUAUAGUUUAAAUGAUCAUUCUCUGACUGUACGUAUUGUUAUAAUUCUAUAGAAUCGAAUUUUGCUAGAAAUUCAUCGAUGUACGACGAUAUGAAUCUAUAAUUCAAAUUUUCUAAUUUGAUAACGAAAUACACAAAUGAUAGCUAUUGAGUUAAACUCAUGGGUUUAAUUCUCUUUCUAUAGGUUGAUUUGAUUUGCUUAGGACAUGGAUGAUGAUAGAUGAGGAUGUAACGUGCAAUGGAAAAGUAGGUGACCUAAUGUUUUUAAUUCAAUUAUUGAAUGUUUACGUUUUUUUAAUAAAUAGAUUCCUAUGAACAACAUAUGUGGAAUUAUUAUAUGAACAUUUAAAUGGAUAAGUAAUGUUUAAAAACAGAUACGUGUUAUAAAAAUUAACUUACAAGUCACCUCUGCCACAAAAAAAAAAAAAAAAAAAAAAAAAAAGUGUUAACGAUUUAAUGUUGUUGAUUGUUUAAAAUUUCAGCUUCUGCCCUUGGCUUCAAAAAUUCAUAACUCAAUCAUUACUUGGAAUUUUUGGAGAAACCAUUGGUGUUUGAUAGCCUCAAAAGUUGAAAUCAUGUCAAUUCAAUUUGUCUAGAAUCUUAUAUGUCACUCUAAGUAAACUGCACUGGGUUACCUUUCAAGUUGAGUCGUUGCGGGGUUUUGAAAAUUAUUUUAUUACCUCAUUUUUUUCCGACGGAAGCUAAUAUUUGGAUAUAUCAUAUUAGGAGUGACAAUUACUGGUUAAGAUAGAAAGCAAAAGGGCAAGAUUUCCAUUUAUUUAUUUAUUUUGCCUAGAAUUACAUGUCAAUAAUGGAUACAUGCAUGGAAAUCAUUCUAAAAACAUUUUUGAAGUUUUUUUCUUUUAGUAUUGAAUUAUGUCGUUAUAGGAAAAAAAAAAUUCCUUACCUAGGUUUUUUCUGCAUGCUGGUUCACGUAAAUAGUAGAAUUUGCACGACCUUUGGUCAAACUUUUUGAUAUCAUUUCACUAUUUUUGCUACUGUCAAAAAGUGACGCUACUAUGAUGCCUUAAUUUGAAAUGAUGUUGUUUAGAAUUAAAUAAUUCUUGAAAUAAAUUCUUAAAUUAAAUUUUACAUUUUCCGUUAAAAGAAUUGUUAAUUAAAUUAUUAUUUUAUAAAAUUUGUAAUUAUUUUUAAAUUAGAGAGAUGUGUGAUUUAGCAAACCUUCGGAAUUGAGAUUAUUCUCUAUUUAUAGCAGCAUUAGCAAAUCCAAGUGAGAAACAUGCAAAAAGGCUAACCAAUUGGUAACAAUCAUCUGCCACGUUUUUGCACUUUCACAUAUGUGCAUCUGGGAAGAAUCAUUAAGGGUAAAGAGAUGUUUGUGUCGCCUGGCUGCUAUAUCAUGCGCUAUAAGACAAUCAUGUUCCAUUUCGUCAAACUUGAUUCCACCAAAACAUUUUUGCUCUACCACUAACUAAGGAACCAAAGCACUGUCUGCCAACUGUUCUCCUUUAGCUACUUGUAAAUAUUCGAUCUUAGAAGUCAUCAAAGAAAUGGGAUAACAUGCUCAUAUUGUUUUGUGAACUCUGGAUUUUGUUAUGCCUUCCAAAGAGAUUUGCCAGGUUACCACAUUGUUUUAGUUCCAUUAGAAAGUAAUAUUUUUGAAUGACUUAGGGAAGUCAUUUUUUACUUUGUAAUUUCUUUCAAUAAAAAGAACUUUGGACAUAAAUACUUUUAAUAUAUUAUUAAUGUAUUUAAUGGCAGAUCUAUUAUUUAAUUAAUAGACAAUUAAAUUAAAUAUUAGAGUCCGUAGAUUCAAAUUUUCGUAAUUUAUUAAUCACAAGGAAUUGUGAUUGUUAGAUACAAAUUAUAUAUGAUUGAAUAUUAAAUCGUCCGUGGUCAUAAGUAAUAACGAGAUACGGAUAUCAUUAUUACGAAUAGACCAUCACGUGUGAUAUUUCUUACUUUUGAAGUAGGUAACUGAUCUCACAAGUUAAAGUGUGAUGACACUUAGUGAACACAUGGAUGUUUUGUUAUAAAACAAAACAUUGGAGACCCACCGAGAGAUUCUACAUGGAUAACUAUCUGAGUGUCAGUGGUUAAUCUCUAGCAUUCGGUAGUGAAAUUGGUCAUUUGACUUGAUGUCUUCAUGGUACCUUAUAUGAGUACAGCCAUACUUUGACGGUAUUGAAUGUUGCUCUACCAAGACCCGCUAAUAUGACAUCAUUCGGGUAUAUCAAGAAUCGUAUGAAGGUUGUGAAUGACUAAUUGAGGAUUCGUCACUCUUAGAUAGUAAGAUAUUAUGAUCUGCGUUUCAUUCAAUUAAGUCGAUAAUGAAAUCCUUGGCCAAUGUGUACUCAUAAGUUGAAAAUAAGUUUUCGAUUUAUAUUGACUUAAUAGUGGAGUGAAAGAUAUGAUCGAUAAUUGGGAUUGACAUACUUCCAUAUCUCGUAAUUGAUCGGAUCAUAUUGAUGAAGGGAUUAUAGUUUCACGGUAAACGAACAAGUUUGAUUUUGUCAUAUCACGUGACAUUUUUCAUCACACGUAUUACCUUGACACAUUAUUAGAUGUUAAUUUGGGACAAGGAGUGUGAAUUGGUGAUAAAUUAAAAGAGUGUUUUAAUUUAUCAAUUUUGAUUAUAUCAAAAUAAUAUUUCAUGUCGUUAAACAUCAUGAUCAAGGACCUGAUGGGUUGCACACAAAAGGAGAAUUGGAAGAUUGUGAUUUAUCAAUUUAUUAGUUUAACAAGUGUUGGAUAAAUUAAUUAAUUGGGUUGCUUAUUUAUAGGCUCAAAUUAAUUAAUUGGAUUAAUUAUUUCACGGACCGAAUUUAAUUAAAUGAGUUAAUUAAAUAUUGGACUGGGUUAGGUCAAAUCCGUCUGGGCUCAUGUAAAUAAAUUAUUAGGGUUUACAAAUCAGUUGAGAGAAUUUAUUAUUUUUACUAGUACAAGAAAAAAAUCAUAAUCCUACAAUCUUGUUUUUUCUGUGUAUUACCGUUGGAGGCUAGACAAUUGGACAACUGUGGGAGACAGAUCAAGGUUGCUGGCAAUAGAAAAGGCAAAGAGGUUUGCAGAUCUAGAAAAUGUAUCACUUUUAUCACAAUUUCUAUCUAAACACAAAGAGAUCCGUGAUGGGAAUAAAAAAAUUGUUUUAAUUUUCCGCUGCGCAUGUUUAGUAGAUUCCCAAGAGUGGUAUUAGAUCCUACUUUGUGUUUGUUAAGAAUUGAUUUACAUGUUGAAGAAAUCAAAAGUUGAUUUUGUUCUUUUCUUGUUUCUAGCAAUUAAGAAGAAAUUUGAUUUUAUAUAUAUACAUAUAUAUAUUUUUGGAAUCUGAUUCUAAAAUAUGAAAAAAAAAAUUGGAUUGGAUGGUGACGAACUGUCGCCGCCACCUGUGGCGAUUGCUAGCCAGCAGUGGCAGCUGGUAUUGGUAACAAACGCCACUGCACCAGGCAGCAGCGUUUUCACACUGUUGUAGCAGCAGGAGCCACCAACCAAAAAAAAAAUUAAAAUUAAAAUUUCUUAAGGUUUUCAGUUGCGUGAGGGAGAUUUGGAGCGGGGACCUCAGUUGCAAUUUUUGAAAUUGCAGGCCCCCGCUUGCAAUAUUAUGAAAGGGGUCAAGUUGUAAUUUUAAAAGGAAGGGCAUGUCUGCAAUUUCAAAAAUUGGAAGGCCCUAGUAUUAAUUCUUAAUUUGGGUCAAAUUGCAAUUUCCAAAAGAUUUUGAAUUUGAAUUUUAAAAUGUUUUUAAAAUUGUAUUUUAAUGGGUUUGACCUAUAAAUUUUAAUUUUGACCCAAAUUAAAAUUUUAUUUAAAAUUGACAACUUUUUAUAUUUUUGUUAAAAUAUGAUUUUAACUUAAAUAGUAAAACUUUGACCCCAAAUUAAAUUUUAUUUUAUUUAGGAAUAUUGUCCUAGAUUAAAAUAUUAAUUCAAUUUAAAUUAGAGUUUGACUCUAAUUCAAUACUUAAUUAAAAUUUGAUUUUAAUUUAUUAUUCACCCGAAUAUACUCUUGAAAUUAGAAUUGGAAUCUAAUUAGACAUUAAAUUGAAAUUUGAUUUUAAUUAAAUUGUCUUACCCUAAAAUUUUCCUUGGAAUUAGAGUUGGACUCUAAUUUAAUAUUUAAUUAAAAUUUGAUUUCAAUUAAAUAAUUUACCUUAGCGUUUAUUGAAUUUAGAAUUGAAUUCUAAUUUGACAUUUAAUUAAAUUUGAUUUUGAUUAAAUUGUCUUGCCCUAAAUUUCUUCUUCGAAUUAGAGUUUGAUUCUAAUUUGGUAUUUAAUUAAAAUAUGAUUUUGAUUAAAUAUAUUUGCCCUGAAAUCUUGAAAUUAGAGUUAGACUCUAAUUUUGUUAUUUAAUUAUAAUUUGAUUUUAAUUAAAUUCAACCGUCUUAAGUUAUGAAGUUAGAGUUGGACUCCAACUUGAUAUUUAAUUGAAAUAUGAUUUUAAUUAAAUAGUCCCGUCCUAUAAUUAUGGAAUUAGAGUUUUGACUCUAAUUCGAUAUGUAAUUAAAAUUGGAUUUUACUUAAAUAUGGCUGCUAAUUAAAUUAUUGAUUGAUUUGAUUAAUUAAUUAUUUAAUUGUUCCAAUCUAUUUGUUUAAAAGAGUUUAGACGAUCUUAAUUGCUAGAAACUUGAAACGUGUUAGCAUAUAAUAUUAGAUAUUAUAUAUGCAUACAUUUAUGUGAUGUAUGUAUUAUUAGUGGACGAUUGUGAAUUUGACCAUGUGAAUGUGUUGAAUGGUUAAUUUUAUUCUUGUCAUUUUAUGGGCUUGCAAGCUCUUAUUCAUUUUGGACCUGCAAGUCCGUUAUUGUUAUUGUGUAUUUUAGACCUGCAAGACCAAUUUCAUCUAGGCCUGUGUGCCAACUAGUGUAGGAUACAUGUUGCAGCUAGACUAAUUGAAGACACACGGAGAGGAGGAAAUCAUGAAGAUGGUGCAUUGAUACUGAUUAAUGCGAUAUCCCCUUGGAAUUGACAAACUACUUUUCCUUAUGGCUCGGGUAGACUAGAUAGUAAAGUUCAUAAUCGUCCAUACUAUUACAUUAUAUUAUAUAUAUGUUUAUUUACACAACAUAUAUGAUGUUACGAUGAGACUUUUGAAUACAAAACCCCCCAAUAAAAUAUCAAGUCACAUUUAUAUUUGCCUUCCAUCAUUAUAGUGAAAAAUCAAAGUCCCAAAUCGUCUUAGUUUGUUGAGUACACUCAAGGCUUGUCUGUUAGGGAUAUAUUUGACACUAUGAAAUAUUUGAUAUUUCUGAAUGAUGGGUUUGAUUUAAAUAAAAUUUAUCUUUUGUUGAGUACACUCAAGGAGAUAAAUUUUAGAGGAAUAUUAAGCUAACAUAUAAGAUGUGUAAAGACAAAGAGUUGUCGGCUUAAUGAUCUGAAAAUAGUAUGGAAAUACAAUUGAUAAUAGUAUCUACCCAAAUGUUUUAUUAAAACUUGUUGAGUACAUUUAAGGUCUUAAUAUAACAAAUGGGAUCCCAGCCCACUGGGAGUCAAAUAUGGACUCCAUAAAUUUAUGUAAGAGGGUCAUAAAUUUUAGUUAAACAAUGGGAGCAUAAUUAAUUUAAUAAAAGUCCAUGUUAAAUUAGUUGAUGCAUUUUAUAUAUUAUUCUUUUCUUUUCGUCAUUUACAUUUAUAUUGAAUCUUGAGUAACCAUAUGUCUUGAACGGCAUACUCGAUGCCAACAACCAAAGUAAUUUUUUUUAAUCGGCACUGCAAUCUAAGAAAUGUUCUCAGGCAUGAGAAAAUUGGUUAUGUCCUUGAGUAGUCCUUUAUAGAGACAUCUAUUGAUGACUCGAUUAAGAAAGAGGUGGCUGCUAUAAUAAACGCAGUGAUGACAAUAGUACUGCAACGUAUAUGAUACUUGCAAUUAUGUCACUUGAGUUACAGAAGCAACAUGAGAGUAUAGAUGUUAACACAUAAUUUUUUAUUUCAAAGAGUUAUAUGAUAAUUAUCAUGUGUGGAAAGAUAUGAGACUUCCAAACAACUAUACCAGUGCAAAAUGACAGAGUAAUCUUCAAUCGAUGCUUAGAAACUGAAGAUGAUUGACGUUGAGAAAUGUCUCGAGUUCAAUUAUAAACCAUGAACUAAGUAGUGACUUGGUUCUAUAAUCUCUGUCAGAGAAAGCUAUUCAAACCUAAUUAUGAAUUUAAGAUGAAUAAGCUCGAAUGUACAAUUAUUAAGUUGCUUAACAUGCUUAAGACUGUUAAAUCCAAUAUCAAAGUUAAUAGUGGGCAAGCCAUUGAUUUCUCUAAGAGUAUUAAGAAAAAACUCUUAAGGAGCUUUGAGAAAGCAUCCAAUAUGGCUAAAACCGUCAAAGCGAAGGACAAUACCGAAUCUAAUAACCCUUAGUUUCAUUAUAGAAUGAAAAGGUCAUUGAAAUAUAAUGCAAGGCUUACAUCUACUUUAUGAGUUUCUUAGGUAUUUGAUAGCAGGUGUGGAUCUCAUAUUUAUACAAAUAUGGAGAAACUAGAUAGAAGUAGACUACUACAAAAGGGAGAAGUUGACCUACACGUUGAAGAUAAGCAAAUGUAGCUGCAUUGCCUAUAGGAAUAUACUUUUUGCCAUUGCCUUUUGGUUUAGUAUUGGAAUUAGAGAAAUGCCUCUUUGUACCCAUCAUAGCUGGAACAUUAAAAUGAAUUUCAUGUUCGAACAUGAAUUAUUUUAAUGUUAAGGACAAUUGUUGUUCUUGUUUAUCUUGAUAAAGAUUCUAAUGGUUAUGGUAAAUUACAAAACGACGUUUAUAUUCUUUAAUACUAAGGAUUCUAUAAUGAGUAUAGAAAUUAUAAGGCAUAAAUGCGAUAGUCUAAUUAUUACCUAAAUCUGGCAUGAUAGACUUUAUCAUAUAGAUGAAAUGCAAUAUUGCAUGGAGAUGUGUACGUGAAGUCAAUUGAUUUUGAAUCAUUUGAAAAGUGCAUAUCAUUCCUAUUAGGCACAAAUGACUGAAUCUCCUUUUAUUUGAAAGGGAGAAAUGUCUACAUAAAUAUUUGCAUAAUACAUAGCGAUGUAUAUGGACCUAUGUCAAUUAAUGUCAGAUGAGGUUUCUCUUACGUCAUCAAUUAUUAUGGAUACUUGAUGAAAUUCAAGCAUGAAGUUCUUAGGAUUCAAUCUAGAAAUAGAGAGACAAAAAGGUAAAGAUAUCCUCACUUUAAGAUCAGAUCAAGAUGGAAAUAUCUUAAAGAUUAAAAUCUGGAUUAUCUAAGAGAGAAUGAGAUUCUCUUGCAGUGGACUCCUCCAUAUACACUGCAACAUAGUGGUGUAUCUAAAAGGAUUAACUAUUAACUAUUAGAUAUAAUGCGAUUAAUAACAAGCCAUGCAAAUCUCCCAAAAUCAUUCUGGGGGUCAUGCACUAAUUGCAGUGUGCAACACACUAAAUCAUGUCACAUCUAAAUUGGUUAAUUUAACUCCAUACAAGUUAUAGAAAGGCAAUAGUCCCAAUUUAUUUUAUAUGAAAGUUUGGGGACAUGACACAUAUUUGAAGCGCCUUGAAUCGAAUAAGUUUGACACUAAAUCCAAUAAAUACAUAUUUGUUGGAUAUUCAAAGCAGAUAUUUGAAUAUAUAUUCUAUUAUUGUGAAGAAAGUCUUUAUCUUACGAUAUAUCAUUUUCUUAGAGAAAAUAUUUACUCUAGGAGAGGAUAGUGGGAGCAAAAUAGAACUUGAAAGAGUUCAAGAGUCCACAUAUAUAGUUAACUAAGUAGAUGAAUUCAAGUUUAAUCCUAUAUAUAAUAUGGGACAUACUCUUGAUCAGGAAGUAGAGGCUCUUGAGGACAUGGUAGCUCCAUUUAAAUCUAGUAGGAUCAUUCGACCUUGAAGAAGGUGCGAAUCCAUGGUUACUAAUAAGGAAUUAUUGAUCCAAGAUGAUGAACCUACUAAUUGCACAAAAAAUAAAGUCAAGUGUUGACUUAAAAGAGAUAGCAAGAGGCCAUGAAACCCAAGAUGAACUCGACGUAUGUGAACAAGGUUUGGACCUUGGUCGAUCCUCCUGAUGAGACAAAAUCCAUAGGUUGUAAAUGGUUUACAAUAAAAGGUUGACAUGGAUGGGAAUAUCCAUAUAUACAAAGUAAGGCUAGUAGCAAAAGGUAAUAAAUAAAGACAAUAUGUUGACUUUAAUGAAACCUUUCACCUAUAGCCAUGCUCAGGUCCAUUCGGAUUUUGAUUGCAAUAGUUGUAUACCGUGACUAUGGGUUAAAACAAAUCUCUUGGAGCAGAAAUCUUUGAUUUGAAGGAAAAAUCAAAAUGUUUGAUUUUAUAAAAAAUGAAGAUGAAUCGUGUGUUUACAAGAAGAUGGUGGGAGCAUUGUAGGAUUUCUAAUAUUAUAGGAAACGACAUCCCUAUAUUUCAAUUGUUGAAAUAAUGGCUGUUAAAGAAUUUAUUCAUGAACGAUAUGGGGAAGGGACUUGAUCUAUAGAGAUAGAUCUAGAAGAUCGCUUAACUCAUCCCAAGAUUUUAUAUGGAGAAAUUGGUUUACUCUUAAACGGUGUGUUGGAAAGGUUCCAAACAUGAAACAACCGUUGGUUUAAUAGUAGAAACCUAAUACAUGAUUGCUUCAGAAGCAGCAAAGAGUUGCAAUAUGGAUCAAGAUGUUCAUCAAUGAACUUGGGAUAGUUCCUAACAUUGUUAAUCACAUGCUAUUGUAUUGUAAUAACAAUAGAGUCAUCGCGAAAGCGAAGGAACUAAGGUCUUAUCAAUGAUCCAAAUAUGUAUUAAGGCGAUAUAAUCUCAUCAGAGAGAUAAUACAUAGAAAUGACAUAAACAAGAGAACGAAUUCCCACAUUUGACAAUAUUGCAGAUCCACUGACAAAGAGUUGUCGUAGCAUAAACGUGAUCUUCAUGUAGACUUCUAUGAUAUUGGAUACAUAAGUGAUUGGAUCUAGUGCAAGUGAGAGUUUGUAAAUGUUAUGCUCUAGGUCCAAUCAACUUUGGACAUAAAUACUUUUAAUAUAUAAUUAAUGUGAUUUAAUGGUAGAUCUAUUAUUUAAUUAAUAGACAAUUAAAUUAAAUAAUAGAGUCCGUAGAUUCACAUCUUUGUAAUUUAUUAAUCAAAAGGAGUUAUGAUUGUGAGAUACAAAUUACAUAUGAUUGAAUCUUAAAUCGUCCGUGAUCGUAAGUAAUAACGAGAUACGAAUAUCGUUAUUAUGGAUAAAGCAUCACAUGUGGCAUUUCUUACUUGUGAAGUAGGUAGCUGAUCUCACAAGCUAAAGUGUGGUGACACUUAAUGAAUACGUAGAUAUUUUGUUAUAGAACAAAACAUUGGAGGCCCAUCGAGAGAUUCCGCAUGGAUAACUAUCUGAGUGUCAGUGGUUAAUUUCUAGCGUUCGGUAGUGGAAUUGAUCCUUUGACUUGAGGUCGUCAUGGUACCUUAUAUGAGGACAGUCAUACUUUGGUUGUGUUGGAUGUUCCUCUGCAAGGGACGCUAAUACAGCAUCGUUCGGAUAUGUCAAGAAUCGUAUGAAGGUUGUGAAUGACCAAUAGAGGAUACGCCACUCUUAGAUAGCAAGAGAUUAUGAUCUGUGUUUCAUUCAAUUAAGUCGAUAACAAAAUUCUUGAACAAGGUGUACUCAUAAGUCGAAAAUGAGUUUUCGACUUAUAUUGACUUAAUAGUGGAGUGAAAGAUAUGAAUGAUAAUCAGGUUGACACAUUUCCAUAUCUCGUAAUUGAUCGGAUCAUAUUGACGAAGGGAUUAUAGUUUCACGGUAAACGAACGAGUUUGAUUUUGUCAUAUCACGUGACAUUUCCCGUCACAUUAUUGCCCUGACACAUUGCUAGAUAUCAAUCUGGGAUAAUGAGUAUGAAUUGGUGAUAAAUUAAAAGAUAAAAAUAAUAUUUCACGUCGUUAGGCAUCGUGAUAAGGAACCUGAUGGGUCGCACACAAAAGGAGAAUUGGAAGAUUGUGAUUUAUCAAUUAAGUAGUUUAACAAGCGUUGUAUAAAUUAAUUAAUUGGGUUGCUUAUUUAUAGACUCGAAUUAAUUAAUUGGAUUAAUUAAUUCACAUACCAGAUUUAACUAAAUGAGUUAAUUAAAUAUUGGACCGAGUCAGAUCAAGUCUAUUUAGGCUCAUAUAAAUAAGUUAUUAGGGUUUACAAAUCAAUAGAGAAUUUAUUAUUCUUGCUAAUACAAGAAGAAAAUACUAAUCCUACAAUCUUGUUCUUUGUGUGGAUCACCGUUGGAGGCUGGACAAUUGGACAGCUGUAGGAGGUAGAUCAAGGUUGCUGGCAAUAGAAAAGGCAAAGGGGUUUGCAGAUCUAGAAAAUGUAUCACUUUUAUCACAAUUUCUAUCUAAACACAAAGAAAUCCGUGGUGGGAAUCGAAAAUUGUUUUAAUUUUCUACUGUACAUGUUAAGUAGAUUGCCAACAGAUUAUCUUGCACAUGUUGAAAAGCUCACAUAACUUAUGUUGACCUUCGAAAUUAGCCAACAUGUGUUGUUUGAAGACAAUGUACACAUGGACGUGUUUAGCCGUAUAUUGACUAUAAAUGCGUGUAUUUUUAGAAGAAGGUAGAUAUGGUGAACAACUAUAUAUGAAUAAGUGUAUUAAGUUCUCUUUCUUAUUCAAAGAUUCGUCCCCUCAAAUGAUAUAAAAAUUGGCUAUUUGUAGUUAUAAGCCAAGGUGGUCAUCGUUGGAUUUGAUCUUCGUGGCCUGAUCACUAGACCUUGGCGUCAUAUCAAUUCUACCUAACAUUAAUUACAUUGACAGACAUUUGACAAGGGGUCAGCAACUCUAUAUCUCCAGGCUAACAUUCCUAACACUUAUUUAAUGAAAACGUCACAUCAGUCAACUCUAAAGAUGUGUUUAUGAGACCCUUUUCUAGUUGUCAAGGACUUCGAAAGCUGUGGAGUUUGGCGGAAAGGAAUAGAUCCACCUCGGAUGCGUAAGGGCCAGGACCACUUCAGAUAACUCUAGUGAAAUGACCUCAUCGUUCAAUGCAAAAAGCUCGACCGUUGACCUUUUUGUAGCUCUUUUGACCCCCCCAAUGCCACGUGUAUGAAUAUGGGGCUUCUACGUGGACCGUAAUGUCUGAUCAGCAACAAUAGUCCCCAAGUCUAUGUAUAAUAAUUCCUGUGAUACAUAGAAUUUAUAUUUUGUCAAUUUUGAAAAAUCUAUGCAAUAGUGUAGUCCCCUAAGUCUAAUUUACGAACAUUUAUGUGAAAAUUAAAGUUUAUGUUAAAAUUGAGGCGACCUGAAAGCUGCUUUUUACUCUGAUGUUGUAAUAACGCGGAUUUGUCGAGGUGAUGAGCUUCGAAAAUGGAAAGAGGUGGUUAUUGAUUGGAGAGGUUGUAUAGGGUCAGCCUUGGGAAGUGUGAGGGAUAUUGCGCGCCAUGCUGGAAUGAUUGGUUGUCAUUUACAAUCUCUAAAAACGACAGAUGACAAUGGUUCAAUUUCCUAUACAUGUAAUCGUCUCCGCAUUAAAUACUUAAUGAUGGCAGUUACAGGCGUGCCUUUUGUCCCCCAGGCAAAGUGGCGCAUGUAAGAGCCACGAUGCAAUUUGAGCCUCAGAAUACGAAAUGGCAGAUGUUGUGAGUGGCUAAGAUUCAAUUACCAAAUCAAUGGUUGGGAGAUUGGAUUUUUGAAUUCAAUGGCCAUGAUCAAAAGUUUUUUCCUAUAAAAAGGAAAGGCUUGUGGAAAAAUCAUUUUUUACCUUUGUAUUAUUCUUGUGUUCUUGAGUUCUCUACGUUUUGUGUUUUUACCAUCUUCUUCCUUAUUCAAGCUUUUUGGAUUUUGAGAAAUUUUUUGCUCUUUUCGAUCAAUUUUUUGUAAGUAUCUACAAUUUUUUGUAAGUUUUAUAACUCACAUAGGAUCGUCUUCAUCUGAGGAGGUAGAUGUGAGGAGGUUGGAUGCUGAGAUAGGGGUUGAAAUCAUGAGUAUUGCUCACUUGGUUAAGUCCAUUAAUAUUGGUCAAAGCUGCCUUCCAAUUGUGGAGGAUGGUUCGGGGAGGAGGGUUGGGGGCCUCAAAAAUUUCCUCUAUUGUAGAGUCUUCUCAUUUAGUAAGCCUCAGAGAAAAUAUUGUAUUCCUUAUGAUAUAGAGCUCUUAGCCCCCUCUCCUGAUGAUUGUGCAUAUUACAUUAGGUCAGGGUGUGUAACCAUCAGUGAACUCCUUUUAAAGGAAGGAUUUCGGCUUUCCCUUUACACAUUCUUUAGAGCCAUUUUUAGGUUAUACAAAUUGGUUUCGACCCAGUUCGUCCCUAAUGCAUAGGCUCAACCAAUGGGGUUGUACUUCAUUUGGAAAGAGACUUCAUUACGCGAGGACACACCUCUUCACAUAUUCCAGACUCUCCUCUAACCUAGGUCAUUCGGCAAUGAAGAUUCCAAGAGGUGAUAUUCUUUAUGUCCAUGGGGUCACAUGCCCCCUUCGUCAUAGGCCUUCCGUCCUCCAUCAAAAGGUGUAAGAAUACGUGGUUUUGGGCAAACGAAAAGUGGUAGGUGUAUGAGGGUGACACCUUCUCCAUGUGAGAGUUCAAACUUCCUAUUCCAAACCUUUUGUAGGAUAACAAUUUUGAAAUAAUCAUCUGACAUUGUGUUUACUUUUGUAGAGGUGGCUGAGAGGUUCGAGCUCAGUUCAUCAGAACUCGAGCUUAUCAAGGAUAUUUACUUGCGCCCAACCUCGUCAAUAAAGUUUGAAAGGCUCAUAAUUUCAAGGUGAUUUUUUGAAGAAUUCAACCUAAUGGCCAAGAGAGAUAUCCCUGCAGUAUCUUUGGCAAUUUACAAGCUUGUUUAGUUUAUAUGUUCUGCAUUCUGAUGUGCUUGCUGACUUGCUUUAUAGAGAGUUUUGAAAAGAGUAGGCACCCCACUCCUGAUAUGGCCAUUAUUUUGGCAGCCACCUCCAUGGCUAGAAAGAAGGGGUUGAAGCCCUCAUAUGUUGCAGGAAAAUAGGUGAAGACCAAGUAGAGAAAGUCAACAGGGAGGCUGCUGCCUAAGAGGCCUCUGGGAGACCUCGCUUGGACAAAGGAAAUGGGAAAAUAGAGGAGGUUCCCAAGAAAAAGACAACAUUUUUUUGCUACCGGAGUCGAUGGGUCAUCUGCAACCCACUGUCGCCUCGCUCUAAAGUCCCUGCUGGGAAGAAGUUGAUGGUAGCUUCAAUUGCUACUACAAUAGGGGGCCCAAAAGAGGGAGACCUUCGGUGUGUCUUCAUCUACUAAAGCCACCCCUUACCUGAAGCUCUCCGUUUCCUACAUGAGUGAUAAGUUCGUCCCAAAGGUUCUGACAAUAUUGCUUUCAAAAGGGAAAAUCAUUUUAGUAACUUUUUACAAGUACUGGACAGAAUAUUGGCAAUCUUUCGUGGAAUCCAGCGAGUAUAUUGACGUUUUCACCACAAUGACGAACCAAACAACGAGGGCGUUUAGCACUGCUAUUGAGGCUGAGGCUCUCAUUAAAAACCUCAUGAAUAAGAAUAAGGGGCAUAUAACCCGAGCUACUGAGAUCAAGGAAGCAGUUAGAAAGUCUUCAGCUAAAGUGGAGGCUUUGAAGAAGAAUCAAGCUGAAGAGUCAAUGAAGCUCGUUUCUGCAUUGGAGAAAUUGAAAGUUUAAAAAAGGAGGCCUACCAGUCACAAAGUGAGGUGGCCUCCCUAACAAAGUGGGUGGAGACGUCUGAUCACCACCAAAGGAUUGCUGAAGAGGACGUUGAGUUGGCCAAUAAAGAAAACUUUGUACUAAAAGAGUAGGUAAAAAGGUCUGAACUCCUGGAUCUCUGACUUGGUGAAAAAGGUGGAAGCGACAAGGAAGGAGGUUGAAUCUGUUAGCAGAGAGGUAGAGAAAAGAUACAUUGUAAACUUCCAUAUAAUAGAGGCAUACUAAAGCUUUGGUGCUCACUAGUGGAGGUAUGCUUGCACAAAGGUGAUGGAGUGGAUCGAAGCGAAUCUUCAAGUUGCCAACAUCUUUGAGCUGAGGGCAGAGUUUAUGGAGGAGAGUGGUGGUUCCCGACUUCGACAGAGGGGAGCCAGGUUAUUGAAAUCGAAGAUGAAACCAAUGAACCAAAAGCUGAUGUCCAAGAGGUGGUCCUCAAUGCCAUAGUACCAUUUGUACUUUUCCUACCCUACUUGCUUAGAUAGGGUUUCAUUCUUUUUGUUUGUAAUUUUGGCCUUUGAAGCCCAAGUUGUAAUAUAUUUUCGAGUAUUAAUGGAAAUUCAUAUUUAUUCAUUUUUUGUUGGCGUUGUUUAAUUUCCUCGUGCUUUCAUUUGAUUUAUGCUUCAUUUAUACUCACUUUUUUACACAAGUGUUUGUAAUUCUGCCAUUUAGUUUGUCUCGUUUUGUGCGAGGUUGAGUGUCUUCUGAUUUAAUAACUUUGUACUCUUAUAAAAAGUUUUAUUGGUAGUACUUUUGUAGAUGUUCUACAUUCCAUAGAUGAGGCUAUGCCUUUCCAUCCAAUCCUCCUAUUAUGUAAGUCCCAGGUCUGACCUUUUCUUUUACACAGUACGAACCUUCCCAAUUUGGCCCAAGAGUUCUAAUCUCUAUUUUUUAAUAGACAAAAACACUCUCCAGAGUACGAGAUCAUUUACAUAAAAUUCAUUUUUCUUGACCUUUGAGUUAUAGUACCUCAUCAUUUUCUUAUGAUACAUAGCCAAUUUAGACUACGACUCAUUUCUCAUUUCUUUAAGGAAAUCCAGUUCGCACAUCCUCAGUUCGUCAUUGGAUAUCUCGUUGAAGUGUAACCUAUGAGGUGAUGGCAAACCUUCCUCGACUGGGCUCAUUGCCUCAGCACCAUAGUUCCUGGAAAAUGGGGUUUGGCCAGUGGCAGUUCUACUUGUAGUCCGGAUAACCCAUAAGAUCUGGGGUAGCUCGUCAACCAAAGCUCCUUUUAAAGCCUCGAGCUUUCUUUUCAACAUGUAUUUAAUGGUAUUAUGAAUAGCCUCGACAUGUCCAUUUGCUUGGGGUGAUGUGGGAAGGAAAAGUACUUCUAUAUCCCCAACUCAUUGCAUAGGUCCCUAACUUUCUUGUUAUUGAAUUGACGUCAGUUGUCUGAUACAAUCGAGUGAGGAAUGUCAAGCCUCCAAAUGAUGUUCUUCCACAAGAAUUUUAUCGUGUUUGCUUCAGUUAUUUUGGACAAUGAUUUAGCUUCGACCCACUUAGUGAAGUAGUUAAUCACGACGGUAGCAAAACAGCCACUACCUCUCUUUAGGCAUAGGUCCAAUCAAAUUAAUCUCCCAUUUGGCAAACGGCCAAGGACUAGAUACAACAUUGAGCUCUUGGGGUGGUUGUGGUUGAACUAUUGCAAAAUGCUAGCACUUAUCACAUUUUUUUUUUUUUUUUUGCAAAUCGGUGGGCAUCCUUUUUCAAGGUCAGCCAAUAGUACCAUGCCUAAGAACUUUUUGGGCUAGGUCCUAUCCUCCUGAAUGGUUGCCGCAUGCACCUUCAUGUAUUCUCUCAGCACAUAAGUAGCUUUUUCCCACCUAUGCACCGAAGCAAGGGCAUAGAGAAACCUCGUUUGUAGAGUAUGCCAUCUUGAAAGGUGAAGUAGGUGGUCCAUUUUCUCAACCUCAGUGCCUACUCUUUGUCAGAGAGUAAGAGCUAUUCUUAUAAAAAUGCAAUGAUGGGGCCCAUCCAUGAGGGGGUAUCCUUUACCAUAUCACUUCUUGUUCUUUGGAAAUUGAGGGCCUUGGAAGGUGCUCUAUAGGUACAAUGGUAAGCAAAUUGAAAUCUUUACUGGUAACCAACUUUGAAAAGGCUUCAGCGUAAGAGUUUUUACUUCGUAGGAUCUGUACAAGGUCGAACUUCUCAAAUGUGGGAAGGAAUUUGAUGACUUGCCUAAGAUAUGUUGCAAUGCUCUUAUCCUUAGUGGCAAAACUGCCAUUAACAUGGCUGACCACCAACUGAGAGUUACAACUAGUGUGGAACCUCUUAACUUGCAUCUCUCUAGCCAAUCUAAGGCUAGCUAGGAAGGCUUCAUAUUCAGCCAUGUUAUUUAUUGUUUUAAAUCCAAACCUUAUGGCACAAUUGAGCUUGUGCCCUUCUAAGCUAUCCAACAUAAUGCCUGCCCCAGAUCUGGUUUCCUACGAGGAACCAUCUAUAAACAAAUUCCAUGUUGGGAGGUCGGCAAGCUCCAUUUCUGGAAGGGGAGUGAAUUUAGCCACAAAAUCUGUUAGUGCCUAAUCCUUAACUGCUGUUCUAGCUUUGAAAAUUAUGUCAAACUUACCCAAUUCUAUGGCCUAUUUUAAUAGUCUCCCAAAAGCAUCUGUUUUCUGAAGUACUUACUUGAGAGGAAAUUUAGUUAAGACCUCAAUAGCGUAUGCCUAAAAAUAGGGCCUCAACUUUCGAGAAGCGGUGAUGAGUGCUAAAGCAGGGUUUUCCAUGUCUGGAUGGCGUGUUUUAUCUGCCAAAAGUGAUUUGCAUAUGUAAUAAGCGGGCAGCUGACGACCCUCCUCUUCUCAUAGCAACACUGAGCUAACUGCUUUGGUGGUCACCACUCAGUAUAACAACAAGGGCUUCCCAUUCUUGGGUUUCGACAAGAGGGGGCCUGACCAAGGUGCUUCUUUAGUGCCUACAUGGCCUAUUCACAUUCUUGUGUCCAUUGAAAAUGAUUUCCUCCUUUCAGGACUUUAAAAAAUGGGACACACUUAUCUAUCACCUUUGAAAUGAAGCAACUCAAUGAUAUCGCUCGUCCUGUGAGGGUUUGAACUUCAUUGGGUUUUUGAGGUGAUCUGAUUUCUACCAGGGCUCUAAUCUUAUCCGAGUUAGCCUCCAUGCCUCUUUGAUUCACCAUGUAUCCCAAGAAUUUUCUUGAGGCUACUCUAAAGGCACACUUGAAGAGGUUUAGUCUCAUUCUAUAUCUAUGAAGUAUCUUAAAGACCUCCCCCAAGUGUUGGAUGUGAUCGUCUGCUUUCAAGCUUUUUGCAAGCAUAUCAUCCACAUAUACCUCCAUCGUUUUGCCAAUUAGGUUAGCAAACAUGUUAUUGACCGGUCUUUGAUAGGUGGCUCUAGCAUUUUCAAUCGAAAAGGCAUCGCCUUAUAACAGUACAAGCCUCGGUCAAUGAUGAAAGAAGUAUGCUCCUCGUCUGUUGGGAACACGAAAAUUUGAUUAUAGCUAGAAUACGCAUCCAUGAAACUUGAUAGUUCAUGACCUGCUGUAGAAUCAACUAAUUAAUCUAUUCGUGAGAGUGAAUAGUUGUCUUUGGGACAACUCGAUUCAGAUUAGUAAAAUCCACUCACACUCUCCAUUUUCAUUAUGUUUCGUUACUAGUAUAGGGUUUGACACCCACCUCGGAUACACCGACUCCCGAAUGAAGCGAUUAGUAAUCAACUUUUGCACCUCGUCUUUUAGGGCUUCAUUCCUCAAGAUUCAAGCCUCUCCUUUUUUGCCUAUGAGAGUUUACCUUGGGAUUGAUUUUCAAGUGAUGACGGCUAACCAUAUCUUUGUACUUCUAGGCAAAAAUAUCCAGGUUGUUCCACAGGAAAUUUUUUAGCUUUUCUUUCAAAGUUGAUGAUAGGUUUUUACCGACCUGCAAGGAUUUAACCCACUUCAAAACUCUCAAGUUCCUCCAUCGAGAUUGUUUGGGGCUUGUCAUUAAUUAUACGAGGAUCUAGAUCAUUAAUAUGAGAAGCUUCAUCAGUUAAUCUCCUUUCUUUAGGGCCUAAUUGAAUUUCCAUGGUAGCCUCUUCUUCAGAGGCAUCGAUUAUGUAGACGUCCUUCCUUUCUGCAAGGUUAUCGACCUCGUCAAAUUCCAUUAAUAUAACGUUUACACUCAUCGGUUCAACUCUUUGUAUGGAGCUCGAGUAACACUCUCUAGCACUUUGUUGGUCAUUUUUAACCGUAUCUAUACCUUGCUUUGUAGGGAACUUCAUACAAAGAUGGUAAAUUAAGGUUACUACCCACAAUUCCUUCAAAGCGGUCUUCCCAAUACCCCAUGGUAGGCAAAAUACUGAUCUACUACCAAGAAUUUCCAUGAAAUUGUGGGCCAUCAACUCCUAUUUCUGUUGCCAAAGUGAUUUUCUCUCGAUAAAGGAUGUUGUUACGUCUAAAACCAUACAGGAAGAAGUUACCAAGGUCAGUUCGUGAUCAACUUCCAUCUUGUCAAAGGUGGACCCAUAAAUUAUGUUGACUAAACUUUCGUUUUCUAUAACAUUCUUUUGAGGCCAUUCUAGCCACCACUAACCUUACGACCAGGCAUCACAAUGAGGAUAAUGUACCCUGUUGUGUUAUUUUACGUAAAUACAAUCGGCUAAACUUCCAUGCGUGUGGAUGAUUAACCACUGUUAACUAUGAAGCUAGCCAUUGGGGGGUCCUUAGCUUUCCUGGUGUAGUUUUUUUUGGACAUUCCUUGUCUCACCACCUACUUAUGGUCCUCCAAAUAUUGUAUCAAUUUCUCGAAUGGGUUCAUACUCGGCAUUUGGUGAAUGACUCAUUCGAUGUCUCUGGCCUUCUUCAGGUCUUGUGUGGUCUUCACCACGCUUGUACGAAUUGUAUCUAUUGAGUUGGCAAUUUUUAUCAUUUCUUUGCGAAAGACCUUAUCGAGCGGCCUCGACCUUUUGGGGACGUUCAUUCCCUCUUUGUUUACUCGGAUGUUUGGCUAUGUCCCAGUAUCCAGCCAUGCUGUGACUAUAAGAAUGAUGGUAUGUGCAAUAUGGAAGUUCUUCAUCCCUAUUUCUAGGUCGUAGCCUCGUGCUCAAAUCGAUCACUGAGGUGAUCUGUCCUGCUAACCUCAGCGAUGGGAUUCACCUCUUCGUAAGCCAAAGUUGGGACUGCGUUAAGUGUUGUCCCUACUAACGAUUGUCCUAGAUUAAAAGAGGUAGAGGUUCUACUUGUUGGUCAAUCAAAUGCAAUGUUGGGCCUCUUCCUCUUUGCAUUUGAAGAGGUGGGAGACCUCGAUUUGCCUGUUUCGAUGAUCUCUUAAUUCAUCAUUGAUGAUCUCUCGUCUAAUCAUUUCCAUCAUGGCGUUGUAACGAUAGGGUCUUUGUUUUGCACGUCUCUCCAAAAAAAUGAAUUCAUGUACAAUCCUCCUCUUAGGGAAAUUAAUGCCUCUCUAUUUGUAACCUGCACACAGUAGGUUAUUUCAUUCGUGAAGUGGGUCAAAAAGCUUUUCAGCGACUCCUCUAGUUGCUGCCUCAUAUUUUGCAAUCAUUGAAUCUGUCCUUCAUCUUCUUUGCACAUUGCAAAGCGCUUAAGAAAAGCUUUCUUGAAAUUAGGCCAACUCCGUAUAAUUUUGGCCUCCAGUCUAGUAUACCAUACCUUAGCUGCUCCACUAAGGGAUAAGUAGAAGGCUUUGCAUUUCAUCACUGGCAUAGCAUCCUUUAGUCCCAUGUAAGUUUUAAAGCUGUUGAGGUACUUUACAAGGUCUCAUAUCCCAUCAUACUUGGUAUCUUGGGUAGCAUUAAGUGGUUUUGUACUGGAGCAUUCCUAAUUUCUCGUGAAAAUGGCAAAUUAUCGUCGUCAUUGUUGAGGUCACAUGACCUCUAUGGUUUGUCAAAAUUACCUCCCUUUCUAUCAAGGGCUUCUAUAAGUUGUUGGGAUUGCUCUACUCUUCUCUCUCACCCAUUUCUAUAUGGGAGAUUAGUGUUGGCUCCAACAAGUUCAUUAUGCACUCCCAACUAAGGCUUUUCACAUUGUCUAUUUCUAGGUGUAGGACGCUGAUCAUGCCUAUUCUAUUUCUAGGUGUAGGAUGUUGAUCAUGCCUAUUGCUAGGAUGUCCUGGGCUUAGCUUGUCAAAAACACUAACUAACUUUUUUGGUGGAUUUUCUAGGUUGUAUUCUGGUGGAAAACUGAAAGGGACUUCGGUAUACUGAUCCGAAGCGUAAUUUGUUGAAAUGUCUACUCCCAUCUUUCUUUCCUAAGGUUUUCUUCCCUUGGAUACUAUUGAUAUUCAGCUCUUUGGCACUGAACCUCAUCUUCGUCAUAAUAGUAGUUGCUUGAAGUAAGGCAUGGCCCAGAGGGGCAUAUGGGAAAAUUUGAUAUCUCCAUAGCCUUGCUAGUUUCUAAAUAAUUCUUACAUGGCAAGAUUUUAUUGAGUAAUGUUCCUCAUAUUCUCAGCCAUGGUGACCACCUCUCUUGUUAGCCUAGCAGUUAAUCCGGAGCCUCCCCGAGUCCUACCUUGCAAGUCAUUUUGUCUAUUUGGCAGCUGAAACCUGUGGCGAGAUGUUAGGGUUGUGUGCGGGGGUUUUCCUUUUUCAGUGUAUUCCCUAGUCCUCCGGGUACAAGUCUUUCUACACUAUUACUCAUGCUAUCUUUUGAGUGUUUUCUUGUUGUAGACAAUCCUUUCUUUUUUUAUCAAAGAACAGGGAUCGCAUCCUAAAACAAUCUUCUUCCCUUUUUCAGCGAUCCUUUUUUCAAGGAUACUUCCUUUUGUUCAAAGGCUUACAGGCAAAAACUUUCAAACGACACCUAUUAUCCAUUUUCAAAGGUAAAGGAAAGCUUGAAACAGCUAACCACGAAAAUCUCAUGGUGAAAAGCUUUUGGAGACAAUUUACAUUUGGACGUGUUUAGCAAUAUAUUGGCUUUAAAUGUGUGUAUUUUUAGAAGAAUGUAGAAAUGGUGAACAACUAUAUAUGGAUAAGCGUAUUAUGUUCUCUUUCUUGUUCAAAGAUUCGCCUCCCUCAAAUGAUAUAAGAAUUGGCUAUUUAUAGUGAUUAGGCCAAGGUGGUCACCGUUGGAUCUGAUCCAUGUGGCCUGAUCUGCUAAGCCUUGGCGUCAUAUCAAUCCUACCUCACAUUAAUUACAUUGACAGAUAUUUGACAAGGGGUCAGCCACUCUACAUCCCUGAUCUAACAUCCCUUACACUUAUUUAAUGAAAACAUCAUAUCAAUCAACUCCAAAGAUGUUCUUAUCAAACCCUCUUCUAGUCGUCAAGGACUUCGUGAGCUGUGGAGUUCAAAGAAAUAGGUCUACCUCAGAUGCAUAAGUGCCACGACCAUUUCGGAUAACUUUAGUGAGACGACCUCAUCGUUCAAUGCAACAACCUCGAUCGUUGACCUUUUUGUAGUUCUUUUGACCUCACCCCCCCCCCCCUCAAAUGCCACGUGUAUGAAUAUGGGGCUUCCACGUGGACCGUAACGUAUGAUCAGCAACAACUUACUUAAAUAUAUUUUCAAGACUUUGUGAUAUCUACACGAUUGAGGAACAGCAGCAUCAUUCAAGAUGAUUCUCUAUUUACAGCAGAAUCAGCAAAUCCAAGAUUGAGAAACAUGCAAAAAGGCUAACCAAUUUGUAGCAAUCAUCUGCCAUGUUUUUGCAUAUUCACAUAUGUGCAUCUGGGAAGAAUUAUUAAGGGUGAAGAGAUGUUUGUACCGCCUGGCUACUGUAUCAUGGGCUAUAAGACAGCCAUGUUCCAUUUUGUCAAACUUGAUUCCACCAAAACAUUUUUGCUCUGCCACUAACUAACGAACCAAAGCACUGUCUGCCAACUGUUCUCCUUCGGCUACUUGUGGAUAUUAGAUCUCAAACGUCAUCAAAGAAAUAGGAUAUCAUUCUCUUAUUGUUCUGUGAAUUAUGGAUUUUGUUAUGCCUUCCAAAGAGAAUUGCUAGGUUACCACAUUGUUUUAGUUCCAUUAGAAUGGAAUAUUUUUGAAUGAUUUGACGAAGUCAUUUUUUACUUUGUAAUUUCUUUCAAUAAAAAGAACUUUUGGAUUUUUUUUUUUAUUUUUUUUUUAUUUUUUUUAUCUAUUUGGUUACAAUUGUUAGUUUGCUUGAAUAUACAAUAUUGAUUAUCUUGCACAUGUUGAAAAGCUCGCAUAACUUACUUAAAUAUAUUUUUAAAACUUCGCGAUAUCUACAACCAACUUAGUCCACUAAUGGACAGGUUUAUGGCUAAACAAUAAGCGAAUUGAGUUUCAUUUAAACAUGAGGUUCUUUAUUGAUAAUAUUUUCUUGGAUGUUCUCUAUUCAAGGGUGUUUCAGAGGUUCUUCAUUUUCAUCCACGAGUUCAUAUGUUCUCAAUUUUAUCACUUCGACUACAGUAUAUGGCCCUUCUCAAUUCAAAACUAAAGAACCUAACCAUAUUUCUUUGUGUGCAAUAAAGAUUUUCUUAAAAAUGUCACCUACUUUAAAGGUUAUUCUACGAACCUUUAAAUUGAAAUGCAUUUUCAUCUUUCUAUGAUAUAUUGCAAGCUUCAUUUGAGAAGCAUAUCAUCUUUCCUCUAGAAUGUCCAGGUACGUAUUCAUGGCUUCUCAAUUUGUUAUUCAUCAAAGUUUAACGUCCUCGUCGAACUUAGGCCUAUUUUUAGGUAUCAUGGCUUCUACUCCAUAAGCUAAUAGAAAGGAAGUCUUUCCUACACUAGUCCUUUUAGUGGUAAGAUAUGAUCAUAAAAUUUAUGGCAAUUCACCAGCCCAUUGCCCCAUUGCACAAUCAAGCUUUCUGAUCAAAAUUCUUUUUAAGGUUUAGUUCAUUGGUUCUUCUUGUUCGUUAGCCUGAGAGUAAUAUGGAUCGAAAAAUAUCUAUGGAUUCAUAGUUCUUAAUGUAAGGCUUUCAAAUUAUUCCCUUCAAAUUGUGCAUCACUAUCUUAGAUAAUCAAAUCCGGGAUUUAAAAUCGACAAAUGAUGUUUUUCCAAAUGAAUUUACAAGUAUUAACAUCAAUUCUACUGGUAAAAGGUUCUACUUUGAGCCACUUUGUGAAUAAUCUAUUGACAAGAAUCACGAUCAUAAACCUUUGCCACUACAGAGAUGAUCCCCAAAAUCAGCUUCACGAAAGGCCAAAAGCUAUUGAUGGUAAUCAACGCUUAUGAUGGUUGACGAAGUAUAACUGUAGAUCCCUAACAUUUUUCUUAUUUCCUUGUAAAUUUCUAUGCUAUCUUUUCUCAUAGUGUGACGUUGCAUGAGCAGGAUUACAUCUUGGUGUAUGUAUCAGGCUACUUUUACACACAUCUUUCUUGCUUCUCUUUUAUUUGGGAGGAUUGCAUUCUUCAGAUAGGAUGUUAUUUAUUGUAUCCAAGGGGUUCCCUCUUGAACCCAUAGUUAUCCUUCAUUUUAUUGACUGACUGAUGUGUUUGAUAACAAUUCUAGUGAUAUGGUUUUAAAUAGCCCCGCAUCUACUGUACUUGCCAAUUUAGACAAAGCAUCAACAUACCCAUUUUCUUAUCUCGGAAUGUGAACUUGUCGAUGUAUUGUAAUAGGCUCAUAACCUCGAUUAAAUAUGUAUCCAUUAUUUUGUCUUUGGCACUGAACUGCCUAUUGACUUGAUUAACAACUAAUUGUGAAACACAUUUUAUUUUCACUCUCUCAUUGUGCAUUUCUUUAGCCAAUUGAAGUCCUACCAAUAGGGCCUUAUAUUCGGCUGAGUGUUUGUUACUUUGAAUACGAACUUGUGUGUACAAUUUAACUUGUGCUCUUCUUGGAUUAUUAAGAUUAUCCCAGCUCGAGCAUCACUUUUUCUCAUUAUCUAUUAAAAAUUUCCAGGUUUCUCCCAGUUCAGGUUCCUUUUUAGGAAUGGAUCAUCUGAAAGAUCGACAGUGAAAUCUGUCAUUACUUGUGCCUUCAUUGCAAUAGCCUCCAAUAAUUCAUUUCAAAAUGCCUUAAUUCUACUGUCCAUUUCAUGAACCUUCUGAUGUAUCGGGCUUUGGUAAUACUUAUUCGAGUGAAAACUUAGACAACACAUCAAUGCUACGACUUUGGAAAUGAGGAUGAACUUUCCAAAAUGACACUACUAGAGCGAUGGCCAGGGACGGAUGUAGAAAUUUUUAGCUAGAGGAGCACAAUCAAACUCUGUACAAAUCAAAUACUUUGUUUUUUUAUUUUUGAAUGAUUUAUACUCGAACCGAUAAAAUGCAGAUUUACAUUUAAAAAACAUUUCUUUUUUAAUAUUUUACUCAUCAUUUUCAUCCAUUUGAUUUCGAUCUAUUAUUUUAUUAAUAUUUUGCUCAUCACAACAUAAUAUGCAUGUUUAUGUUUAAAAAAAUUAUAGUAUAUUUAAUACAAAUAAUCAAUUCGAGUGAUCGCAACGAAAAACAUAUAAUCAAUAUUCAAUCAUAUAAAUACAAUUCAUUAAAUAUAAGUUGAAUUGGAUAUAAUCAAUUCAGACACAUUCUAUGUACACAAAUAGGAUAGAAAAAUGAAAAUUUAUGUUCUAAUUAUUUGGAAAUUUGAUUGAAAAGUGAAAAUUGUAGUAGAAUUUGUAGAAAAAUUAUAGACAAAUUUAAAAAAAAAAAAAUUAGAAGAGUUCAAAUUUUAAUAAAAGGUGCGAGGGAGAAUGUAAGAUACAGUAAGAGGAGAGGAAAAAAAAUGCAAAUUUAUUAUGAUUUUGCUCAUGUUUAGUGGAGGUUAAAAUCAAAUUUUUAGUAUAUUUUGGUAAAACUUAAAAAGUUAAGAUUCCAUGAAAUAUAUUAUUAAAAUUAAUUGUUAACUUCCUUUGGCAACAAUGAGAGCAAGAAUUUCCACGUCCAGUAGGAAGUAGGGAGACCGUCCCUCACUCUCGUCAGUUGUACAUAUGCCCACGGGAGUGUACAAUGACAACUUCCGAGCAUGAGUGCCGGAUCAUGAGAACUCUCUCCCAAAGCUGCAGAACUAACAACUCUAUUAGAAAAUAGAAUUAGCAACUUGGAAUGCAAGAAUGAAUCUCAAAAAGGUCUGCUCUCGCAGUUAGGAUUGCGAUUGGAAUCACAAGAGAAGAUAUUGUGCUUCUUGGGGUAGACUGCAUAUAUCUUAAAACAAUGCCAAUUACCAGUCGCAGUAGCAAUAGGAUAAGGCACGCAGGGUGACGUUCAAUUUCAGCAUCCGAGCCAGACCGACAGCGGAAGCCUAGCACUAAGUGUGUUCGAAUAAUCAAAAGAAGUUCUGUUUCAAAGCCUAUUUUGAUAGGAUUCUCUGAGAUCGCCGAGUAGUCAUAGGUAAGUAGCAGCUAUCUCCGACCUCAAAGAGUGAGACAAGAGCAAUGAGAGAGUGAGCCCCGGGUGGGGCGCACGAAUGGAGGACUGAAAUAAAUAGGGUAGCCCAUCUUUUCAAUUUGGAUUUCAAUCGAAACCAAACAGGAUUUAUCCACAGAAAAAGAAAAAGAAGUUGGAGGGUCACCUGACCCCCCCUUGAGUCUGCCCAUGGCAACGGCCAAUUUUUUCCAUAUCUAGAUAUCUAGUAUCAGUAGUUUUGAGAGCUUUUCUUACUAGUACAUUGAUAAAUAAUUAUGCCUCUCCUUUCUUACAAGUGCAGAACUCACAGUUACUUUAGAUACAACCAAAGCAAUAGUUUCUUCUCGUUCAACAGUUUGGCUAAAAGUAGGGCUUUGCCCAAAUGCUAUAUCAAAGCUUGCAAAGCAUGUUUUGGUCCCUUAAAAAACAUUUUUCAUCCUUUUAAUAAUUGAAUGAAAUGAGAGCAUUUAAGUAUGGCUUGUGGGAUGUAGUUCAAGGUUUCGACCCUUACAAUGAGACCCUGAAUCUCUUUGGUGUUUCUAGAGAUUACAUCUCUAUGAGAGUUCAUACUUUAUCAAGGUUCACAACAAUGCCCCGUUGGUUUACCAUGAAAACUAAAAUUUUUCCAUACAUGAAUUCGAAUGCACAUUUAUGUGGAUUGAGUUUUAUAAGAUAUUAGAGAAUAUGAAAUGUUUCAAAUGAUUGUCGACCUGAAGGAUUUUGAUGAGCAUAUCAUCGAUAUAUACUUCAAUUAUUUUGCCUAUAUGAUCUAUGAACAUUUUAUUGACUAGUCUUUGAUAUGUUGUCCCAGUGUUCAAUAAAUUAAAGGCUAUCACCUUAUAGAAUUAUAGACCUUGAUCAGUAACAAGGGUAGUAUGCUCUGCAUCGUGCAUGUACAUGGGAAUCUGAUUAUAUUUAGAGCACGCAUGCGCAUCCAUGAAAUUCUAAGUUCGUGUCACGUAUUGUAUCCAGUAAUUGAUCAAUUUUGGGGAUAAAAAAAUCCUUAAGACAUGCCUUGUUUACUUCUGUGAAGUCUUGAUAGGUUUUCCACUUUCAAUUACUUUCUGAAACCAAAAAUGAAUUACAGAACUACACUGGAUAUUUAGUUUCAUGAGUAAAAUCAUUCAAUAACAUAUAUACUUUGCUUUUAGAAGAUUCAUAUUUUUGGGAGAUCAUUGGUCUUCUCCUUUACAUUUUAGGCCUUACUUUGGGUUCGAUAUACGCCACUUUCGAGUCAAUUUCUACAAUAUCCGCAUGCUUUUAGGUGAAAUAAUUAAAAUUUGCUUUUCAGUAAGUCUUUUAGUGCACUUUCAUAGGUUUAGCCAUAUCUUUUCUAACUUUUGAAACCUCGGUUGCGUCCUCUUCGUGCAAUGAAAAGCUUCUUGAUCUUUGACCGCUAUAGCUUUGGAUAUGUAUUUAGUGAUUCGAGGGUCGACUGAAUCAUACUUCAAAUUUCUCUUCCAUAGGAUUAUUUUCUUUAACCAUCGCUAUCGUAUCACAGGGCUGCCGCUCUUAGCCCACUAAGGUAGCACCCUCGCAUAACCCCCUUGUCACAUUUUAUACGAGCUUCUCCUGCACAAGUAGGAAUUUUACACAUAAUUGGAAAAUGUAAAUUACUACAUUCAUUUUUUUCAUAUACCCUUGGAAUACUCGAGGUUCCUCGCUUAGCUUCACUGCUAGAGUAUAUCGGACCUGACCAUUUCUAGUGAAAUCUUGAGGACCAGGCGUGGUGGUCCAAGGAUGAUAAGAUUGUAUUUGAUCUAAUUCAUUCCAAAACAGAACAUUUAUCAAACUUUUUCUAUCCACAAGCAUGUGACUAGAGCCAUUGCUCACCGUUAUUGCUGAUAUCAUCAAAGCAUCACAAUGACGAUAGAUGAUUUUAUCCUUAUUAACGACAUACUAAAUUGGAAGGGAUUUAGGUUUUAAAUUACCUUGAAUCCAAUAAUUUUCUUAAGCUAAUAUUGUAACAUCCCGAAAUUUUUUUUAGAAUAAAAAUUUAUUUAUAGAUAUCAUAUUUGAAAAUGAGGGACUAAGAUGAAAUAUAUUUUAAACUAUUAUAUUUUUGGGUCAAAUAAUUGAAUUUUGAUAGAGUGAUGAUAAGUAUAUCAAUAUUAUACUCAUUGGAUAGCUCUUAUUUAAUUAUGUAUUUUAGGCUCGAGAAAAAAUUAAUUAAGAUAAGUUAGGCAUAAGAUAUUAUAGUUUAAGAAUGUAAGUUUGUUAAUUUAUGCAGCCACGUGUUUUAUGAGUUUAACAAUAAUCUUAAUUGGAUUAUGAUAUAGUUUAAUAUUAAUCCUAAGUUCAUUAUUUUAAACUAGUACUUAUCCAAAUUAUUUGUGGAGCGUGGCUUUUCCAUUUUAGUAGCAUCAAAACACUAUUUACGGUUAAUCAAUGGAAUUAAGAUAAUUAGUAAAAGAUUUAUAAUAUUUUAUAAUCACGUUUAUCUUUAUUUUGAUAAAGGUUGAAUUGUAUCCACUUUUUAUUUUCUAUUUUGAAAUCCAUCUGCCCGUAAAUAAUGUGAUUUUAUUUCUUUUGACCUUGGAAUUUAUAGGAUGGCUGCACAUACACUUUUGGAUAAAGAUAGCUUCUUUUUUUUUUUUUUGAUUGAAUAAGAUAAUAUUAUAGUACAAUUUGGGUAGACUUUUGGUUGCAUGGCACAUGAAUUGGCUCUAUCAAAUAAAUAUUUUAUUUUUAUCCAUUUCCAUAGUCUCCACCUAUUUAUAUAGGCAUGAUGUAAGAGUUUUGCAUACAAAAAUAAUAAUUCAUCACACUCAUACGAGAGAGAGAGAGAGAGAGAGAGAGAGAGAGAGAGAGAGAGAGAGUUGUUGAAAUCAGAAAUUUGCACACAGUCAAUAGUCUUAAUUUCACCAAACCAGAAAAAGGAAAGAGUUUUGAACGUGAAUUCUGAUUUUAUCUUUCAAUAGCGUAUUAAGAUACUUUAUGUGCAAGUGCUUUCAUUUUUUUAUAUUUUUAUAUUCAAUUAAAUAUGCAUGGAUUACCAGUAAGCAUCCUUUUUUUUUUUAACAAGAUAUGAAAUCCUACGGGAUUAUAAGAGGACCUAAGAUGGGUGUGUCGCUUGGUUAUCGAUAUACUCCAUAAGAUUAGAGUGGUAUGAAAUGUAUAAUUUUUAUUAUUAUAUAUUUGAAUAUGGAAACAAUGCGUAUUUUACUGGGUAUUUUCGAAUACUCUUACAAAUUUUUACAAGUUAGUUCGGGUCGAUUGGACUGUGGUGAAUUGGUGAUGCGGACUAUCAAGUAAAUCGAAUAAAGGAAAAAGGAAAUAAACAGUAGUCCGCUGUUAUGUUUUUAAUUUUAAUUGUUAGCUUAAAUUGCUCAAAAGACCCAC
rnacentral:lncRNA from 1 species